rnacentral:lncRNA from 1 species
GUGGCGCGCCUCCUGUGAGGAGGUAGAGGAUGUGAGCUGGGAUGUUGUCUGGUCGAGGAAGAAAGUCGCUGUCUUUACUGGCGAAACAAACUGCUGCGGCAGCCAUGCUUGUGAGCUUAUGAUGUGCCUCUAGUUUAGUUUGUCGGUUUCUGUGAACCGUUCUCUGUGAUGUAUGAUGUAUUGCUGCUGUUAGCUGUAAAUGUGUUGUAUGAUGAGUUGACUUGAUGGUUCGUUUGAGGCUGUCUUGUGAAGGUUACUGUUAGUUAACAUGAGUUAAACAAAUACAUACACUUGCUGCUGUUAGCUGUAAACAUGAGUUGACUUGAUGGUUCGUUUGAGGCUGUCUUGUGAAGGUUACUGUUAGUUAACAUGAGUUAAACAAAUACAUACACUUGCUGCUGUUAGCUGUAAACAUGAGUUGACUUGAUGGUUCGUUUGAGGCUGUCUUGUGAAGGUUACUGCUAGUUAACAUGAGUUAAACUAUUACAUGCACUGGGACCCAUUUGACUAGUGGACCCAUUUAAUAAAAAAGAAAAAUGAAAUUGUUUAGACAAAAAGGCCAUGGCCCAACAAUAAAAAAGGCUGCAACGUUGGGCUUGGCCCAUGAAGUCGACCGAAAAUUGACAGAAAAAAAUAAAAAGGCUGAAUUGUUGGGCUCGGCCCAUCUAAAGCAGUGAAAUGGACCAGGCUGAUUCUUAUAAACGACCUUUUCAUUUGGUCGCAAUUUUGCCACAUCAGAUUGCCACGUCGGAUCCGACGUGGCCUGGGCAGAGAGCUAGCGACCAAAACAGAAGGUCAUAGAAUCAAUGACCUUUUGUUUUGGUCGUGGAAUUCCACGACCUUCUCACAGAGAAGGUCGUUAAUUUCAGUUUAUGACCGCCAGCUUUUGACCAUCUAUUUUUGGUCAAAAAAAGGUCGCAAAUGAAAAUCAAUGACCUUUCAGUGACCAAUAGUGAGGGUUNNNNNNNNNNNNNNNNNNNNNNNNNNNNNNNNNNNNNNNNNNNNNNNNNNNNNNNNNNNNNNNNNNNNNNNNNNNNNNNNNNNNNNNNNNNNNNNNNNNNNNNNNNNNNNNNNNNNNNNNNNNNNNNNNNNNNNNNNNNNNNNNNNNNNNNNNNNNNNNNNNNNNNNNNNNNNNNNNNNNNNNNNNNNNNNNNNNNNNNNNNNNNNNNNNNNNNNNNNNNNNNNNNNNCGAGCUUUUUCUCCGGGGAUCCCCACCCCACCGCCCAAUGAACGCCCCCCAACCGCCGGUGACUGCCAACCAGAGGUCUCACGACUUUGAAUACCCACCGACUACUAAUUUAUUACCAUUUCUGUCCUUCAUAUACGCACUGACGGGUGGGCCCUAUGGUAAUGUGCGCUGCUGAAUGUGGACCGUCUGACUGGUCAAUUGAUCGUGUUAUCAACAAAUUACGGAGCUGUAUGGUGAGCCAGUGACCGUAUGAUCACCCUAAAAUGUACUUCUAUUUUAUUAACACAGUACAGACUCAAACUACCAUUUCUUUCUUUCAUAUACGGGCUGAAAGGUGGGCCCCACGGUUACGCACCCCGAUGGUGCAACACUAGUUGUGCCGCGUGGAACGUUUGACUGGUCAAUUGAUUGUGUCAUCAACAAAAUACGGAGUUGUACGGGUGAGCCAGUGACCAUAUAAUCAUGAUAUGUAUUUGUUUAACACGGUACAGACGCAAGGGCUCAUAUAUACGCGCAAGCACUCACCGCUAUAAGCGCACACACGUGAACCCUACCCCUAUGAGCACCUUCGAGAGAGUGGGCCAGCAUAUAUGAUCUUGAGAUUUUACGAAGUCACCAUAGGUGCCUCGUAGUCGAGUGGAACGUCUCCUCCCACUGAAGGUACAUCACCAGAAAAUACUGAAAUUAACACAAGAUAAAUGCGAGCACCAGGACUUUAACCUUGGUGGGCUCGAGAAACCACUGUGCUCUAACCAUCCAACCACAUGUUGGUUAGCACGCCAAAAUGUAUGUGGUGACCGUGAUGAGCUUAUUUUGAAGUCCAGUGACCAUAUCGUGCUUUUGCUUCAAAUACAAUGACCGUAAGUGUCGUCAACAAAAUACGGAGCACGCAUCAAAUGCAAAGUCCGUCAGUGUCAUCAACAAAAUAUGGAGACGUAUCGUGAGCUAGAUACCGUUGUACUAUUGUAUAUGCUUAUUUUCUUAGUGGCCGAUUGCGUGUGUGGUGUGGUGGGCACAUCAUUUCUAGUUGUGGUGGGUCAACAUGAAGACUCAUGGGUCGGUUCCAUCCUGCGCCACAUAUAGGUUGGACCGAGACGUGUUAUACGAAGACCCAUGUGGAGGACUCGGCGUACAACACGAAGCUACCAGAGUCGCGGAGGACUCUAUCCCCACUGGUGAUAAGCCGACUAUAUAUGAUUUGUAACCCUAGCCCUUAGUAUGUUAUACAAGCUUGGGGGCUAGUUCGUCGAUAGUAUACACACACGCACAAUGCCUGGUAUUCACGUGUACUUUGUACACACCGCUAUCACAAAUAUACAGUACCAGGAGUAGGCUCUUUCUUCAACUGCAAGGGUCCGAUCCGAACAAGGGUAAACUUUGCCUCGUAUUACCAUCCAGCCUAACAGCCAGGGAUAUCCUACUGAAUGAUAUGAUGAAAUCAUAUCUGCCAACUACUAAGAGAGAGGUGUGUCGGGGGGGGGGGGCAAUGUGUGCGAAAGAGGCCUAAAGAUAAUGUGCGUGCGGGAGACACGUAGGCACAUAUAUGUGCGUAUAGAGGGCUAGUAGAGACCGUGCAUGUGUAUAUAUGCAUGUGAGAGAAAUAGUGUUUUCCAACUGAGAUUAGUGAAAAGAGUGGUACAUAGUAGUCAGAAAGAGAGAGAGAAACAGAGAGAGCAUGUGCGUGAGACACCCUGACACCCUGAGAGAGAUUGUGAGCAUGUCUGAAAGAGAAAUGCCGAUGCAUAUAAAGUGUGUGCACUUAUGCGUUAGAUAGAGAGAUAUAUAACGCGUUUGUGAGAACGGGGUGAGGCAUAGUGCAUCUACGUGUAAAAGGCGGUUCUACGCAUUAAAUUAAAAUAUAAAUGGCAUUAUUAUUUCUGGAUGAGAUCAUGAAUUUUGCAAAUUGCGUAUGGAUGAAAAUCGGUCUAUCAGACACCCAUACUAUAUUGAAUUCUAGCAUGUGCAUGUGUUUAUUUCAUAUUAUCGAUCCAUAGAGUGAGAGCGGUUUGAAAUACAGGCAAUGGAUGCUUUUGCAAUUCAUAUAUAAACAUUAAUUAGUGCACUCCAUGUUGUUAGUGUGAAGCACUUUAUACAUUUGUCACUUGCAUGGAUACAUUCCAAAUUGCUAGCUACAAAAUAGAAUACAUGUCGAAUUCAACAUAAAGGGGGUUUCAAAGAUUCGAAUUCAUAGGAAGUGCAUUCAUCUAUUUGAACCGGAGAUAAUGGCAUUUGUAAAUCAGAUGUAAAAGGGGGUAUCAAUCUUUGUUGUGAGUUUGAACAUGCUAUAUAUAUUCAUACGCAUAUCUAACUUUUUUUUGCAACCAAGGAGAUUAUAUCUGGAACCAUGCAUGAACUGAGGUAAGUUGCAUAUUUUUUAAUAUAUACUCGUGUACAAUGUAUAUUCAAAUGUACCCCCUCCAUUCCAAAAUAAUCGUAGCUUUAGGAUUUUCAAGAGUAAAGAUUUGUGAAGUUCGACAAAUCCUAAAAGUUUAAUUCAAGAGAACCGAAAACGUUAAUGCUUCUGCUCCCAAAUAUUGAACGAAUCGCCAAAUAGGCCUCUGGUCACCCGAAACCGCACGAGACUAAUGUUUUGGUGGUAGGAAAUUACUGUCCUGACUCUGGCCCGUGUAGCCUAUCGGCCCGAUGUCCAAAGGUCUAAACCGGGGUAGGUUUGUAACUUCACCAAGACGCCAGUCUCAACCGCCUCCGAGAAGCAUUCAUACGCUGUGGGCGCCUACCCAUGCGCUCGGCCGAAAUCUAUCCCGCCCACAUUUGGGACACCUGACAUGCCUGUCCUACCCCCAACCCGCAAUAUGUCCGAAAUUUUAGAUGGGGGCAAAGUUUGUAACUUUCCCCAAAUUUCAAACAAGCGCGUCUCAAACCGAAACAUUGUUCCCCCUUAGUUCCCCGCCUCCCUCCGUUUCCCCAUUCAUACUCCGUGGGCGCGAAAACGCCCUCUCCACUAGCCGCGAAACCCCAGCCUCCUCCGUCCUCCACCCCAUAGCGGCCAAUCCACCGCCGCCCUCCUCCAUCACGCCAGAGCUGGUACCCCGACGUCAUCGUCCAACACAACCACAACCACAACACCCUCAAGGAAUUAGCAGCUGAAGCCGAGGCAGAGCUGCCUCCACGACGCCGACGCCGACGUGCGCCGUACCAGAACCACUCCGACCACGCCGUCCUGCGCCUCACUACUGUGGCUCCACUGUCGCAACCAUCCACCGCACCGGAGCUAUUCCCGCUACGCCGUCGUUCACCGCCUCGGAUCUGCUUCCCCGCCGCCGACAGACGGCCACCGCACCACACUCAACAACUUGGCCAUGGGUUCGUCCAAGGCUGCACCGUCCUCCACAACUUUUGGUUUCCAGCAAACAACAAGAAGAUCGUCGGAAAAACAGAAGGAGGACACAACACUGCCAGCAGAAAGAGGUACUCCUCUUCCCUUAUUCGUGCAAAUCUUACGUCUCCGCUCACACCGUAUUCAUCCCACGAAAGAAACUAGUUGAGCGUUUCUUACUGCAUCUUCUUCAUGAUACUAAAUGCACAAGGUUUCCUCCCUUUUACUAUUUCACCUUUGCUAGAGGUCAGUAGCCCGCCUGGAUUUCAAUUCAGGGUCAGUCGAACCGCAACUAAAAGAAGCAGCACCCGCUUAGGCGCGCGGAGCACCUAGUCUGCCUGUUCCCCGGGGAAGCGGCGCAUCGGUGUCUAUCAUAAUAGUGUGGGGCGCAGGAGCUGCUUGCGCCCGACUGGAGGUCGGCGGGGCUUGAAUGGAUGGCCGGGGGGCAGUGCCAAGCACGGCGGUGCAGUGAGGUCGAGGGGAGGGCGCAGGCAGGGGAGGAAUACUGGGCCGGUGGUCGCUGGCGUUUCGAGGAAGAUCGUCAACACUGACUGACUGGAGGUAGAUGAAGGCGAUCUGCCCGUUCUUUGUACAUUGGACGGUGUAGAAAAAAUGGACUGACCUAUUUGCUUUCAGUCGACUGUUAUUUUCAUAGAAUCCUGUAGUAAUUUAGUGUGCCAUGCAUGUUGUAGAGCUAUCAUAUGUCUCCCGUCAUUUAUUUCUCACCGACCAGCUAUCUGCUACCUUUACACUGUACUAAUUGUGCACACACUUCACCCAUACUCACACUAUUGUUUUUUUAUGCAUGGGUAUUUCAGACUCUGACGCAGUGUUGAUGAAUGCAGAAAAGACAGAAGUCGCUCCAAUGUAAUUCGAAGAUAAGCACUAAGCGUUUCAGCGCUCUAAUGGGUGCAGUGUCAGCAGUUGGAGACAGUAAACGUAGCUCUGCAGUUGAUGAUCUAAAUUGCCACACACAACCAUCCCAGGUGCUUGCUUUAACUUCGCGCUGUCAAAUGUGGUUGCAUGUUGCAUAUGGUGUCUAGCUUGUAUUGCUUCCAAUUUGGUUAAAUUGCAUCUGCUUACUUUACACAUUAUACCUUUGACAAUGACAUGCCUUCCUGUUUUUGAUACAUACUACAUAUGUCUAUUAACCAUGUUCGUACAUCAAACUAAUGCUCUUUUGUAUCCCUCGUCAAUCACUUAUGAUGAGACAGUCACCCGAGUGGGUUACUGUGAGACGCCCUACUCGUUUAAAGAGUGCAGUGUCAUCCUCCCCACAUGAUUCUCAAGAAACAGCAAGGCUAAAUGAAGAUAGUCAACGUAGCUCUCUAGUUGAUCACCGCAAUUCCCCCACACCACCAUCGCAGGUGCUUGCUCUUACUUGGCAGUGUGAUAUGUGGUUGCAUGUUGCAUAUGGUGUCUACCUUGUAAUGCUUCUAAUUAGGGUAAAUUGCAUCUGCUUAGUUAACACAUUAUACCUGUGAAUAUGACAUGCCUUCCUGUUUUUGGUACAUACUACGUCUUUCUAUUAACCAUGUUCUUACAUCAAACUACUUUUCUUGUGUAUCCCUCAUUAAUGCUCCUAAUUUGUUAAAUUGCAUCUCCUUAGCUUACACAUUAUACAUGUGAAUAUGACAUGCCUUCCUGUUUCUGGUACAUACUACAUCUGCCUAUCACACCAUGUUCUUACAUAAAACUACUGUUCUUGUGUAUCCUGCGUCUAUCGCUUAUGAUGAGACAGUCACGCGCGUGGGUUAAUAUGAGACGCAAUACUCUUAUAAAGAAUGCAAUUUCAUCCUCUCCACAUGAUUCUCAAGAAACAACAAGCCUAAAUGAAGAUAUUGAACUUAGCUCUGUACCUGAAGACCGCACUUCCCCUACACCACCAUCACAAGUGCUUGCUCUAACUUCACAGUGUGAUAUGUGGUUGCAUGUUGCAUACGGUGUCUGGCUUGUAAUGCUUCUAAUUAGGGUAAAUUGCAUCUGCUUAGUUUACACACUAUACCUGUGAAUAUGACAUGCCUUCCUAUUUUUGGUACACACUAAAUCUAUGUGUUAACCUUGUUCUUACAUGAAACUACCUCUCUUCUGUAUCCUGCAUCAAUCACUUACGAUGAGUCACCUUUAUUCGUUGCAUAUUGCAUAUUAUUUCUAGCCUGUUGCCAUGUAUUGCUUCUAAUUUGGUCAAAUACAUUUGUUAGGGCACCCUUUUAAUUUGGCAAAGUGAUAUUGGUUUCAUCUUUCAUAUGGUUUCUAGCUUGCAUCGAUUCUAACAAGUUCAAGCACCUUGUGCUUAGUUUACACUUUAUACAUCAUACAUGUCAAUAUGUCACACCGUCCUGUUUUUCAUACAUAUUCCAUCCUCCUAUCAUGCGGCUGCCUUACAUGAAAGUAGUGUCCGUCAGUAUCAUGCAUCAAUGAGUUCUGAAGAGCAAAUUUUAUUCCUUUUUCUUGUGGGUUUGACUUGACAAGGCAAAAUCAAGAAAGAGGAAGGAAAAGAGUAAGGAAGGCGAUGAUGGUGGUCCUCUGCAGCAAAGUAAACGGAGCAUCUGUACCGAUUCUCCUUGUACUGAUAGUGCAUUACAAGGUCCAAGUCUCCGCUCCCCUACUCCACCAUCCAAGGUGCUUGCUCUAACUUGGCAGUGUGAUAUCUGGUUGCAUGUUGCAUAUGGUGUCUAGCUCGUAUUUCUCCUAAUUAGUGUAAACUGCAUCUGCUUAGCUUACACAUGAUACAUGUGAAUAUGACACGCUUUCAUGUUUUUGGUACAUACUAUAUCUGUCUAUCACACCAUGUUCUUACAUGAAACUACUUUUCUUGUGUAUCCUGCAUCAGUCACUUAUGAUGGGACACCUUUAAGUUGGCAGUGUGAUAUUGGUUUGCAUCUUGAAUAUGAUUUCUAGCAUGUAUUGCUUCUAGUUUGAUGAACGCCACCUAUGACGAGACAAUUUUAACUUGGCAGAGUGAUAUUGAUUGCACCUUCCAUAUGGUGUCUUGCAGUGUUUCUAAUUUGUUGAAAUGCCUUCUGCUUAGUUACCACAUCAUAGGUGUGAAUAUGUCAAGCCGUCCAUUUUUUCAUACAUAUUCCAUCCUCGUAUCAUGACUUUGCCUUUCAUCAGAGUAGUGUUCGUCAGUAUCAUGCAUGAAUGAGUUUUGAAGAGCGAAUGAUAUUCCUUUUUCUUGUCGGUAUGACCUCAAAAUGCAAAAUCAAUAAAGCUGAAGGAAAUUGGCAAGGCAUUGGAUGAUGGUGGUCCUUCCGAGCAACUGAAACGGAGGUUCUCUACAGAUUCUACUCCGCCAUCCUCCCAACAAGAUUCACAAGACAACGCAAGGCUAGACAGUCAAGGUAGCUGUGUAGAUGAUGAGCACAUCUCCCCUACUCCACCAUCACAGGUGCUUGCUCUAACUUGGCACUAUUAUAUGUGGUUGCAUGUUGCGUAUGAUGUCUAGCUUGUAUUGCUUCUAACUUUGUUGAAUUGCAUCUGCUUACUUUACACAUAAUGCCUGUGAAUAUGACAUGUGUUCCUGUUUCUACAUCAGACUACUAUUCUUGCAUAUCCCGCAUCAGUCACUUAUGAUAAGGCACCUUUAAGUCGCCACUGUGAUAUUGGUUGUGUCUUGCAUAUGAUUUCUAGCAUGUACUGCUUCUAAUUUGUUGAAACGCCAUACAGUUUGAACUUGGCAGAGUGGUAUUGGUUGCAUCUUUCAUAUGGUAUCUAGCUUGCAGUGCUUCUAAUUUGUUGAAAUGCCUUCUGCUUAGUUACCACAUCAUAGGUGUGAAUAUGUCACACCAUCCUGUUUUUCAUACAUAUUCCAUCCUCGCAUCAUGUGUUUGCCUUUCAUCCGAGUAGUGUUCGUCAGUAUCAUGCAUGAAUGAGUUCUGAAGAGCGAAUUUAAUUCCUUUUUCUUAUCGGUUUGACUUCACAAUGCAAAAUCAUUACAGCUGAAGGAAAUUAGUCCGGCAGUGGAUGAUGGUGGUCCUUCGGAGCAACUCAAACAGGCGGUCUCUACAGAUUCUACUCCGCCAUCCUCCCAACAAGAUUUGCAAGACAACACAAGGCUGGACAGUCAAUGUAGCUGUGUAGAUGAUGAGCACAUCUCCCCUACUCCACCAUCACAGGUGCUUGCUCUAACUUGACACUAUUAUAUGUGGUUGGAUGUUGCGUAUGAUGUCUAGCUUGUAUUGCUUCUAACUUGAAUUGCAUCUGCUUACUUUACACAUAAUGCCUGUGAAUAUGACACGUGUUCCUGUUUCUAGAACAUACGUGUACAUGAUGAGCACAUCUCCCCUACUCCACCAUCACAGGUGCUUGCUCUUACUUGGCACUGUUAUACGUGGUUGCGUUUUCCGUAUGAUGUCUAGUUUGUAUUGCUUCUGAUUAUGUUGAAUUGCAUCUGCGUAGCUUACAACUUAUACCUGCAACGAUCACUUACCCAUAAGACACAUUUAACUUGGGACUGUGAUGUAGGUUGGAUCUUGCAUUGUCUUCUAGCUUGUACUGCUUCUAAUUACUUGAAAUGGCACUUACAACGAGAAACUUUUUACCUGAUAGAGUCAUAUUGGUUGCAUGUUCAUAUGGUGCCUAGCUUUCAUUUCUUCUAAUUUUGUUGAAAUGCCUUCCGCUUACUGUUUUUUCAUACAUAUUCCAUCCUCCUAUCGUACGUGUGAAUAUGAAAUGCUGUCUUUUUUUGUAUAUAUUCCAUCCUCCUAUCCUGCGCUUGCCUUACAUCAAAGUAGUGUUCGUCUGUAUCAUGCAUCAACCAGUUAUGCAGAGCUAAUUUUAUUCAUCUUCUUGUGGUUUUGACUUCAUAAGGCAAUAUUAGAAAAUAGGAAGGAAAAGAGUAAGUUAGGGGAUGUUGGUGGUCCUCCGCACCGACGCAAACAGAGACUCUCUAGAUUUGUCACUGCUACUGCUACUGAAGUUGAAGUCCCAAGUCUACAUGAUGAGUUCAUCUCCCGUACUCCACCAUCGCAGGUGCUUGCUCUAAGUUGACAGUGUGAUAAUUGGUUUCAUGUUGCAUAUGUUGUCUAGCCUGUAUUUCUUCUAUUUUGAUUAAAUUGCACCUGCUGAGUUUAUACGUUAUACAUGUGCAUAUGACAUGGCUUUCUGUGUCUAGAAUACACUUCAUCUAUCUAUCAUACCAUGUUCUUACAUCAAAGUACUGCUGUUGUGUAUCCCGCAUCAGUCACUCAUGAUUGGGCGCUUUUAACAUGGCAGUUUGAUAGUGGUUGCAUCUUGCAUUGAUUUCUAUGUUGUACUGCUUCUAAUUUUUCGAAUUGCCACUUAUGACAAGACACUUUUAACUUGGCAGAGUAAUAUUGGUUGCAUCUUUCAUAUGGUGUCUAGCUUGCAUUACUUCUAUUUUCUUGAAAAUCCUUCUGCUUAGUUUGCACAUCGUAGCUGUGAAUAUGUCAUGCCAUCCUGUUUUUCUUACAUAUUCCAUCCUCAUACGGUUGUCUUACAUCAAAGUAUUGCUUGUCUGUAUCAUGCAUCAAUGAGUUCUGAAGAGUGAUUUUAUUCUUUUGUGUUGUGGGUACAGCUUGACAUGGCAAAGCCAAAAAAGAGCAAGGAAAAUAAUAUAGUAGGGAGUGCUGUUACUCGUCGGGUGAAAUGGAAAAGGUUCUGCCAUCGAGAUUCUGCUGGUACAUAUAGUGCAGUAGAAGGUCCAAGUCCACCGGCUAAAUCUACAAACACAGUAUCACCUGCUCCACCAGCUGCAGCAUCCGCUUCAACUGUACCAGCAUCUCAACCAGUUACUUGUUCGUUUGCUCCGGAACUGGCCAGUUCCCAAGCUGCCUUCACACCUAACACUACUUCCGAAGCACUGCUGACACAAUAGGACAUGGCAAGAGCAGAUGAACCUCAUGAGCAUCAACACCAAGACGGUACCUGACCUAGUCAAGUUGCAGUUGCAUGCUCCUUUAUAUGUACUCUCACAGUUUGAUGUAGACUAACACUUUCCAUAUUCGUUGCUGAACUAGCACCACGGUGCAACCGGAAACAGACAUCAGGGAUAAUGCUUGAUAGAUUAACAAAAUCUAAAGGAGGAAGAAUGGAGAUCCAUUUUGAGGCAGGUUUAAAAAGGCCACGUGAUGCUACAGAGUCAGCCAAGUUAGUAUCAGAGGCAACCGUUGCCGUUAGGUGUCAUGCACGUAUCCUCCCAACGUGGAUCCAGUACAGGAAUGAGAAAGACAAUACCCAGUUUAACACCUUCCUUGACCAUUUAUCCGUAAGUAAUGUUAUUCAUCGCAAUUAGUAAUAUUGUCUUGCUCUGUCCCAUACUUUCUAGCUUCCUCUUAAUAAGACUCACAUUCCUUUUUCAACAGAUGAGGUUCAAGUUGGAUCCGAAAGAUGAUGCAACUAAACAAGCAUGCACUCAUGUUUUUCAGUCUGCUCUCCGACAGUAUCGGUACCACCUUAGAAAAUCUCACUUUGAAGGCAAGGCUAACAAUGAAAUCGCCCAAACAUCUCCAGUGGAAUAUAUUACAGAUGAAGACUGGACAGCCCUCGUUAAACACUGGUCUAAUCCAAAGUAUCAGGUAGGCUAUAUGUAUUUGAACAGACCACAUAUUGAACUUGUAUUUAUGUAUGUGCCUUACAAGUGUAUCUUCUUCUAGGCUAACUGUUUGAAGAACAAAACCAACCGUUCUAAAGUGAAAUUCCAACAGACAACAGGAUCUCGUAGCUAUAUUGCACACUGCGAGGCUCUUGUAAAUAGCUGUUACUUCCUUCUUUUUGUGUGCCAUAUUAUUGUAUCUAUAUUGACUUGUUCCAAAUACAGAGGAAAGCCCGUGCGGACCAAAAAGAACCUGAACCGAAUGCAGUGCAAAUCUUCAAGGAUUGCCACACCAGCAAGAUGAAGGGCAUGAGCACACCAGUUCAAGCCGAUGUUGUAAGUCCUUACUCCUCCUGCCUUGAACUGAUUGGUACUGUGAUGUGUUCAUUUAACUACUUGGUUUGCAGCCAAUGUCAGUUACUCUGUUCACUUUUAUUCACAGUUGUCUUAACGUAUCAUUUCACCUUACAUGGUUUAAAAGAGAUGAAGGAUAUUCUUUUGGUCUUGAUCUGUAAUCUAGUUGUUAUGUUCACGUGCGCACACAAUGAUAAAAUAGCCUGUUUGUUUUAUAUCUGUUUGCCCAUGAUAUGAAUGAUGUCAUACUAUGUUCAUCCUACUUUAAACCAUGUCUCUUUAUCCUUAGAUGUCAACGAAUGUGAGGAAAUAGACAAUACAGUAGGCAUGCUACAUGGACUUAUGUUCCGAAAGUGAUUUUAUUAUGUAGUUGGCACUACAAUACAUGCUAAUGUAUUACAGUAGUUCACCAAAAUAAGUUAUGUAUAAAUGUUUAACCUACUUUGUUUGUUUUUGUCUCAUUAGUAACAUAUCUGGUACACUAAUCUACAAGUUCAAACUUUCAGGAAGCUAUGGAACAAAUGAUUGAACAGCCACAACCACCUGAAGGUGACGAGGCUACUACAGGCACAAUGUCACCUCUUGCUGCAAUGCGUCAGUAUCUCUCCACUAACAGUGCAAAAAGCACCUUCCUGCGUAAUUCUGGGUUGGUUGUCAAGGUAACCUUGUCCAAAUCGCCUAGUUAACAAAAUCUUCCUGCUAGACAGAGUGAUAUAUCUGUGCUCCAGACACAAGUCUAAUCCCUAAUGGACGUUGUUUCGGAAACAAGAAUAGUGGUUGAGAAAUGUCGUCAAGAUAUGAAUGGUUUUGAAACCAGACUAUCCGACAUUCGCUUCGUUGUUCAAGAGCAAUGGCGGAAAAAGGUGGAGAUCAUGCUGCUCCAUCAGAUUCUACAGCCUGAAACAUUAGCACUUAGGUCAAAUGAUAUGUGCUUCUAUACAUCUGAUGGUGCUUUUAUCUGGAAGUGCUAUAAACUUUAUGCCAAUAGGCCUUUUGUUGUAUCGUUGGAAUUUAUUUUGUUGUGAUACAACAUUUAUGAUGCUGCCUCAGGCUGCAGUAAUUACGACGCUAUUUUUGUAUAGUGUAGGUUUAUCUUAGUAAUGUAUUCAGCCGAAAGCUUCGUAGGAGCCCAACAUGCCAACAUUUGUCGGGCCCAUUCCAAUUGGGCUAAAAAUGAUUACGGGCCGAAAUUGGCAUGUACCCACUAAAAAUAUUUGGGCCUAAAUCAGCAUAAGCUUUCAUAUUUUUCUGGUAGGCCUGUGCCCAUAGUGGGCCUUUAACAGGCCUAAACAUAAUUUGGACCCUCAGUAAAAAUAGGCCGUUUACAGGUGUAAAUAUCUCGAGCCCAUAAAAAACAUGGGCCUUUAAUAGACCGAAAGUGAGAUUGGGCCCUGAUUGUGCCAAUUAACCUACUGGACUUAGCAGGCCGAAAUGGUGGCCCAUUUACGAUGCGGAUCUUUGACAGGCCGAAAUUCGGACGGGCCGUAAAUGCGCCGACCUAAUACACGGGCCUUUAACAGGCCGGAACUUCAGUCGGGCUAGAUUAUCGUCAUUUUUAUAUGGGCCGUUAAUGGGCCUGAUAUGAUGUUGGGCCACAUAUGGCCCAUGGUUUACGUCCGGCGUUAACAGGCCGAAAAUGACAAUAGGCCAAAAGUGGCCCAAAGCUAUAGUGGGCCUCUAACAGGCCGAAUGUCAGACAUGGCCGAAUAUGACCCAAAUCCUUCACGGUCAUUUAUGGGCCGAAAGUUUUGAUGGCCUGUAGAUGGGCCCAAAUGAAGCCGGACCUUUAACAGGCCGAAAAUACACCGGGCCGUAAUUCGGCCCAAUUACUUAGCGGACUGUUAACGGGCCAGAAGUGACCAUGGGCCGCGUUGAUGACAAGUUAGGAUAGGCCGUUGACGGGCUGAUUUGACAGAGAAUGUUGGGCCUUUAGCUCAGCCAGCCCAUUAUGGUCUGCAGAAUCUUGUGGGCCUUUAGCUGGGCCGACCCAUUGUGGUCUGCAAAAUCCUGUGGGCCUUUAGCUGGGCCGGCCCAUUAUGGUCUACAAAAUCGUGUGGGCCUUUAGCUGGGCCGGCCCAUUAUGGUCCGCUAAAUUUUGUGGGCCUUUAGCUGGGCCGGCCCAUUAUGGUCCGCUAAAUCUUAUGGGCCUUCGGUUGGGCCGGCCCAUUUAAACUUUGUGGGCCACUUUUGGGCCGGUCCACGUGUCAACAUAUCAUAGGCCCAUCUUGACCGUUGGAUGAGUGACACCUGUGCCAACGCGGAACUGACGCGUGGAUCCGUCAGCCAAUGAGAAUUUUACACGUGGAAAAUCAGCAUUGGUCGUGGCUGUUAACGGGUUAUCGGAUCCAAAAUCCGACCUGAUAGCUUAACGGCAUUCUGUUACGGUGCAUGCCAUGUGUCGGUCACCCUUGACGAAAGCACUUCUGUGACGCGCGAUUUAUCGUCAUGGAAGUGGACACUUCCGUGAUGAUAAUUUUGGCAAUGUCAUGGAACACUUCUACGACAGCACAUGUAUGACUAUCUUGAUUCUGUCAUAAAUUGUCAUGGAUGUACAUGCAUGAUAGAAAACGCGACCUACUGUGAGAAACACGUAUCAUCACGGAAGUGUAUUUUUUUUGUAGUGAAUGUAUUCACCUCAAGGGUGAUGUCAACAAUAAUAACUCAUGCUACCCAUAUUCAACUGGACAUAAGUGCCUAGAUCUUUCCUCACCACAUGAUGCUUGCCAAAAGAGAAAAAUAAAAAGGAAUAGAGAGAAAAACUUUGACUCUUUGCUUAAAAGUAAAUACUGAAAAGUAAAAGAUAGGCCCUUCGCAGAGGGAAGCAGAGGCUGCCAUGCGCUUAUUUGUUUGUAUGCUCAAUCCCUUAGUGCAAAAGAACGUCAUGUUACAUUGCCCCUUAAGAUGACAACCUUUAUUAUGCAGUCUGUCGCUUUUAUUCUUUGUCAUCCAAGUUCGUGCAAUGCUCAAUUUUCUCUUACACUAAACGAUCUCACACUUUUAGAAGCAAUUUUUAUUGCCUUUUUGCAUCGACGACAACUUACUUGAGGGAUCUUGCUCAAUCCCUAGGUAGGUAUGGUGGACACUUGAAAAAGAUUUAGGUUAAAGGGUUUUUGGAUGCACAAGUAGUAUCUCUACUUAGUGCGGAAUUUUUGGCUAGCAAAGAUAGGGGGCAAGCACCACACGUUGAAGGAUCUAUGACAAUAUGACUUCUAUGUGAAUAUGAACAAACAUAAACCAUUAUGUUGUCUUCCUUGUCCAACGUCAACAAUUUUGGCAUCUAAUAUUUUGAUGGGGGCUCACAAUCACAAAAUAUUUCCAUGAUAGUGUAUUUGGAUGUGAAAGUUCUCUCCCUUAUACUAAUUAUUCGUGAAUUGCUUGUAUGACCAAUAUUGUGAUUGUCAAGCCUCAAAAGAUUUCACUUUCUAAACCCAAUGUGAAGCUACCACUAGGCAUGAUAUGAUUUCAACUUCAUGAUAUUCAAUUCAUUCAACAAUUUACUCAUAGGAUAAAAGUGAAGCACAAGAGUAAAUGACAAGCUACUCCAAAAAGAUAUAAGUGAAGAUAAAAUGAGUAGUUAAGUAAAUAGAUAGUUAUGUGAGGACUCUCUCUUAUUUAAAACUUUCAGAUCUAAGUAUUUUAUUAAAACAUAAAGCAAAACAAAAAUAAAAUGACAUUCUAAGAAUAGCUCAACUCAUGUGAAGAAGCAAAAACUUAGGCUCAACCAUACUAACCGAUAAUUGUUGAAGAAGAAAGGUGGGAUGCCUACCGGGGCAUCCCCAAGCUUAGAUGCUUGAGACUUCUUGGAAUAUUAUCUUGGGAUACCUUGGGAAUCCCCGAGCUUGAGCUUUUGUGUCUCCUUAAUUCUUCUCAUAUCACGGUUUUCCUAAAUCUCAAAAGCUUCAUCCACACAAAACUCAACAGGAACUUGUGAGAUAAGUUAGUAUAAACCAAGGCAAAAACCUUAUCAUUCUCUACUGUAGCAAAUCAGUAAAGAUAUUAUUCAACAUUGCAUACUAAAUGCCUCUGUAUAUUUAAUACUCCUAUCCUCAAAUAGAAUCAUUAAACAAGCAAACAUAUGCAAACAAUGCAAACAUAACAGCAAUCUGCCAAAACAGUACAGUCUGUAAAGAAUGCAAGAGUAUCAAUACUGAUUCAACUCCAAACUUUAUGAAAUUCUACCACACUGUAGAGAAUUUAUCAUGUCUCAUUAUUCAAAAAGUUUCAACAUUUUAUCACACUCUGACUUUCCUCGGGAAUUUUUGCAACAUUGAUAAACUUUCUGUUUUCAAACAGCAACAUGUAUACUUGCAAGAUAAGCAUGGCAAAGGCUAUCAAUGCCACUUUUAUUGAAAUAAAAGAUGAAAAACAUUAUUCUAUAUAACAUCAAGCAAAUCCUAACAAAAUAAAAUGACACUCCAAGUAAAACUCAUAUCAUGUGACGAAUGAAAACAUAGCUCCAAGUGAGGUUACCGAUAAUGUUGGAGACGAAAGAGGGGAUGCCUUCCGGGGCAUCCCCAAGCUUAGUUGCUUGGAUAUUCCUUGUAUAUUAACUUUGAGUGCCUUGGGCAUCCCCAAGCUUAGGGUAUUGUCACUCCUUAUUCUCCUCAUAUCGAUAUCUCACCCAAGACUUAAAAACUUCAAUCACACAAAACUUAACAAAACUUCGUGAGAUAGGUUAGUAUGAUAAAGAGUAAACCAUUUCACUUUGCUACCGUCAAAGACAAGAUUCAUAAUUGUUUCCCCACAAUGACUACUGUAGCAUAUCAUUUCCACAAUUUAUAUUGAGCCAUAUAAGUCACAGAAACUAGAAAGCAAGCAAUCUAUGCAUUGAAAACAGAAUCUGUCAAAAACAGAACAGUCUGAAGUAAUCUGUACUCAAACAAUACUUCUGCUACUCAAAAAAUUAUGAAAAACUUAGGAUGACGUGAUAAAUUUGUAUAUUAAACUUCUGCAAAAAGAAUCAACUCAUAAGCACUCUUCUGUUAAAAAAUGGGACUUAUUUUUGUCAGCACAAAAGUUUCUAUUUUUCAGCAGGGUCAAAUCAACUAUCACCCAACAUGAUCCCAAGGGCUUUACUUGGAACUUUAUUGAAACAAAAGCAAUAAAACAUGAUCGAUACAGUAGUAUAAUCAUGUGAACACACAAAAAUAGUAGGUAAAAGUGUUGGGUUGCCUCCCAACAAGCGCUUUUCUUUAAUGCCUUUUAAGCUAGGCAUGAUGAUUCAAUGAUGCUCGGAUAAGAGAUAAGAAUUGAAACACAAAGAGAACAUCAUGCAUCAUAAGUUCCUCUCUCAUAAUAAUUUUCAGUAGCAUCAUGAAUAGAUUCAUCAAUAUAACCAUUACAUAAAGCAUUCUUUUCAUGAUCCACUAGCAUAGAAAAUUCAUUACUCUCUAUGGCAUACAUGUCAUCAUAAUAAUCAUCAUAGAAAGCAACUUUAUUGUCAUAGUCAAUUGAAACCUCUUCCAAAAUAGUGGAUGUAUCACUAAAUAAAGUCAUGACCUCUCCAAAUCCACUUUCAUCAAUAUUGUAAUAAUAUUCAACACUCUCCAAAAUAGUGGGAUCACUACUACCUAGAGUUGACACUCUUCCAAACCCACUUUUAUCAAUGUAAUCAUUAUAAAUGGGAGGCAUCCUAUCAUCAAAAUAAGUUUGAUCAAUCAAAGUAGGGGGACUUAAAAGAUCAUCUUCAUUAAACAUAGCCUCCCCAAGCUUGGGACAAACAUUAAUUUCAGCAAAUAAAUUCUCAGAUAUGUCAUCCUCAUCAAACAUAGCAUCCCCAAGCUUGUGGCUUGGCAUAUCAUAAGCAUAAUCACUCUCAUCAUUAAUAGUAUGAAUAGCACCAACGGUAUAACAAUUGCUAUCAUCAAUAUUUCCCAAGUUGGUGCCAAAAAGAUUUCCAAGAUUAUAAGAAGUAUCAUUAUCUUCCCAAUAAUAAUCAUCACAACAAGCAAUAGGCAUAACAAAAUCAUGAUCCAUAGUGCUCUCGGACAUUGUGCCGUAAGACAUAGAAGCAAUAUCAUCAUCAAGUGCAUCAUCUUCCACAAUUAUUUUUGAUUCAUUUUCAUGAGGCACAAAAAUAAUAGGAGCAACAUUAUUUGGGAGAGAUACCUUUUUACCUCUCUUCUUUUUUCUUUUCUUCUUCUUCUUCACCCACAUCAUGUGUGGGUUUAAUUAUUCUUUUAAAGCUUCUUAUUGAUGAGAUUGGUUGGAUAGGAAGCUCCUCCUCGUUACCUGAUUCAUCAUAAUAAACACUAGGAGGGUUUUGGGAAAUAUUUUCCCUUUCAUUUGUACUCUCUUCAUAUUCUAUUUGUUCUCUUGACUUUAGAUAGUUGGCAAUAUAAGGAUUCUCAAUGCAAUUUACCGCACAAAACAUAUAAAUUUCUUCUAGAUCAAAAUCAAGAAAUCUCUCGAGAUUAAAUUUUGGAAUACCCUUAGUUAUACGUUUCAUUUCUUCAUACCCAAAAGAAGACUAAGCUCUUUAUGAUGCUCAAGGGUAAUCAAGUUAUCGCAAUGUUUGGACACAAAUUGAUCAUGAAAAAAUUUGCAUUGGAGAUUUAAAUGACCACAUUCAUUGCAAAGUUCACAAGGAUGGCGAAAAUCUUUCAGCACAAUCAUCUUGCCUCUCUUGCAACCCUUUUGUUUCUAAAUACUUAUGCUUCUUACAAAAUCUAUCUUCCCUUUUUGGUGUGCAAAGGCACUCCCAAUUGACUCCGCAAAAAGUGACACGCUUAUAAGAAACAUUUUUGUCAUGACUUAUGCAGUCAUCAUUAGCAUUUAAGAUAUUCAAAGAAUUCAUACUAACAACAUUGAAAUCAUGCUCAUCAUUCAAAUAUUUUGUGCCACGCAUUUUAUUGACUUCUUCUUCUAACAAUUGAGCACAAUUUUCCGAACCAUCAUUUUCAAGAAAGAUAUUAUAAAGAUGGUCAAUAAUAUGAUGCAACCUAAAUUCCAUUUUUUGGGUAGUUUUCUUUUUAUAAACCAAACUAGUGAUAAACAAGAAACUAAAAGAUUCAAUUGCAAGAUCUAAAGAUAUACCUUCAAGCACUCACCUCCCCGGCAACGGCGCCAGAAAAGAUCUUGAUGUCUACUACGCAACUUUAUUCUUGUAGACACGUGUUGGGCCUCCAAGCGCAGAGUGUUGUAGGACAGUAGCAAUUUUCCCUCAAGUGGAUGACCUAAGGUUUAUCAAUCCAUGAGAGGUGUAGGAUGAAGGUGGUCUCUCUCAAAUGACCCGGCAACCAAAUACAAGAAAUCUCUUGUGUCCCCAACACACCCAAUACAAUGGGAAAUUGUAUAGGUGCACUAAUUCGGCGAAGAGAUGGUGAUCAAAGUGUAAUAUUGAUGGUAGAAAUAUAUUUUUAUAAUCUGAAUAAAUAAAAACAGCAAGGUAGCAAAUAGUAAACGGGCACAAAAACGGCAUUCCAAUGCUUUAAAACAAGCCCUAGGGUCCGUACUUUCGCUAGUGCAAUCUCCCAACAGUGCUAACAUAGUUGGAUCAUAUGAUGAUCCCUCAAAGUGUAAUAAAGAAUCACUCCCGCGUUCCUAUUAGCGGGGAACAAAAGAUAGAUAUUGCUUGUAGGUUACGAGAUGACCUCAAAGCUAUUCUUUCCGUUCAAUCUAUUCAAGAGUUUGUACUAAAAUAACACAAAGCUAUUUUUUCCGUUCGAUCUAUCCUAGAGUUCGUACUAGAAUAACACCAAAGCAAGUUCAUAUUCAUAAUACUCAAUCCACACAAAGAACUACAAAGAGACCCCGAAGUUUCUACUGGAGAAAAACGUGCAUCAACCCCUAUGCAUAGAUUACCACAAUAUCACCGCGGGAAUCCAUGAGUUGAAUGCCAUAACAUAUGUCAAGUGAAUCAAUAAGAUACCCCAACUGUCACCUCAAGUAUAUAUACCGCAAGACAUAUAUCAUGUGUUCUCAUCUCUGAAUAUUCAAUCUGACAAGACAAAACUUCAAAGGGUAAAGAUCCAGUUCAUCAUAACAAGAGUAUAGAGGGUAGAAACAUCAUAUGAUCCGACUAUAUUAACAAAGCCCAUGAUAUAGAUCACGAGAGAGAGAGAGAGAGAGAGAGAGAGAUUAAACACAUAGCUACUGGUAAAAAACCCUCAGCCCCGAGGGUGGACUACUCCAUCCUCAUCGUGGUGGCCGUCGGGAUGAUGAAGAUGGCCACCGGAGAUGAUUACCCCCUCCGAUAGGGUGCCGGAAUGGGUCUAGAUUGGUUUUCGGUGGCUAUAGAGCCUUGCGGCGGCAGAACUUCUGAUCUAGGGUAACCCCGAAGGGUUUUGGAAUAUUUGGGAAUUUAUAGUGCAAAGAGGGGGUGCGGGAGGCCACCGAGGUGGGCACAACCCACCUGGGUGCGUGAUACAUCUCCAAUGUAUCUACUUUUCCAAACACUUUUGCCCUUGUUUUGGACUCUAACUUGCAUGAUUUGAAUGGAACUAACCCGGACUGACGCUAUUUUCAGCAGAAUUGCCAUGUGUCGUGGUUCUAAGACUGAAAGAAGAAUGGGGGGUAGGUAUGAGGAGGCAAGAUCCUAGCUAUGGUGAAGUUGUACACACAAGAUUUACGAGUUCAGGCCCUUCACAGUGGAAGUAAUAUCCCUACGUCUCGGUGCUCGGGAGCUCGGUCGAUUGGAUUAUAUGUGUGGAGUUAUAGGGGGUGCGAACCCUUGUGCCCGAGGAGGGGGGUGGCUUAUAUAGAGUUUGCCAGACCCCUCCGGCCCUCAGUUACACAGGGUUCAAUGUACACAAAGAUAUGAACGUUACUGGUAACGCCAGCAUUAAAGUUACAUAAAUGACCAUUAAGAUUACGAAGUGAACGCCCGACCGUUGUCAUUCAGAGUGACUUUAGACCUUCUGUUCUCUGAGUGGAUUCUGGUAUGGUCGAAUGGAAUUGGGAUAUCCGAGUGAACACUCAGUCGAGUGGGUUGAGUCCUGUGGUGAUUCCAGUCGGUAGAAUCUACUGUCCUUUGAAUGUCUUUGACUGUAGGGCAGUGUCCUUGGGUAGGGUACUUAGAUCAGGUCUAUUGCCCUACCCUAGGUACAUGUCAUCGUCAUUAGCCCCCGAAUGGUUCUGGGUCCAAGUAGAAUUGAAGUUGAAGGUGACUCCGACUCAACUUUCCUGCUUCAGAGACAUUUUACUUAGAUUGGUGAAUCAUUCAAAAAGUCUCAACUUCAUUUUCAGUCGCCUUGAACCAUUCAGAGGUUGUCGAGUGAACUUUCGUCAAUAAGCUUCGAGUGAUUUGACAAGGUAUAAAAUCUUCGGUCUGAAAGAUUGCUCUGCUGCUCCCGGAUCUUGCGGGAUUCGAAAUUUUGGGAAGCGCGCAGGAUGGAGGAGGCCGCAGUGAUCGGAGUGGAUUAGGCACGGGCGCCUCGAUCUCAGUGCCACCUUUUUCACCACGUACCGUGUGCGCGACUGUUGCGGGAUUUGAUAGGAUUACCCGGGCCCACGAGUCAGCCACUCGGGAGAAGGCCUUAUAUAAAGUGUCGUGGCUGGGGUUUUCUGCAUAGUGCAUCCCAUUCUCUCCCUUCCUCCUCUGUUUCUCCACCGUAUCCACUUUCUCCCUCGGUGUCGCUGCUCUGCUCGAGCUCCGCCCACCGCAAUGGGGAAGGAGAAGACGACAGCUCUGGAGCGCGCGAAGAAGGCGACAGCGAAGGCGAAGGGAAAGAAGACCAGCCGGGGUGGAUCUUCGUCGCGAUCUGGCUUGCCGCCCGGCUGGAUCCAGGGUAACUGGAUCCGGUCGAUGAUCCAGCAGGAGGACAUAGAGGAUUUGGUCGUGGGGGGCCUGAUCCCCCACGGGUCUUGGCGGCUCCCAGAGGACGAAACUGAGCCGCGGCCGCAGGUGGGUGAGUGCGUCCUUCUCGCCACUCACGUCGACCACAGUUUUUCUCUGCCUCCCCAUCCUUUCUUCCGAGGCGUUUUGAACUUCUUUGGAGCUCAACUUCACCACUUUUCCCCCAACACCAUCACGUAUCUUGCCGCAUAUGUGUCCAUGUGUGAGAAUUUUCUGGGGUGUCGACCGCACUGGGGUCUCUUGAAACAUAUUUCACCUGCCGUUCUCAGUCGGUCAAAAAGGCCAGCCCGAGCGAUGAGAGGACGCACGUGAUCCAGAUGUGCGGGGGUCUUGGGAUCCAAAUGAGGAGUAAGAGCACCUUCCCAACCAUGAUACUUCCAGAGUCUGUUAGAGGGUGGCAGUCGACCUGGUUCUACUGCAAAGACCAGCCGACUCCAGGUCAGUCGACUGGGCUUCCCUCCUUUUCCAUGUCUCGAGUCGAGAAGCCAUCUUCCUUGAAAGUGACUCCAGCGGAGAAAGCGGAGGUGAAGACGUUGGUCGAGCGAGUGGUCCAACUUGUCCGUGACGGCGUGACUGGCAUGGAUCUGUUAGAGGUCUUUCUCAGUCGACGCAUCCAGCCACUUCAAGCCCGUGAUCAUCUGAUGUGGCUGUAUUCGGGCAUUGAUGAUUCCACUCGGAUUCAUCCGGAAGAAGUUGACGAGGCUACGGUGGCGCAGUGGCUGCAGGGAAUCACCGGCAACAAGGAUAACCCCAGAGGGUCCAGGAGGAUUCCUCCACUCGACAACACUUAUGAACCAGACAAGGUCCGACUCUGAAUUUCCGAGUGUCUUCUUGAUCCAUUGUGUAAUCGUUCUUGUCGACUGACUAUUAUUCGUUCAACUUAUUGUCUUGCAGAUCUUCACUGAGAUGUAUUCGAUGCCCAACGGAGAGGAGGUGCAGGAGCAGGAGGGAGAGGCGAGCGGAGGGGAAAGCACGGACUGGCAGUCUGACGGAGGGGAGGACGAGGAGAGUGAUGACCCGAGCGAUGGUGAAGAGGUUGUUCUCCUCCUCGCACGGAAAGGCGAUCGAAGCAUACCCAUGACCCAGCUAGCAUUCGAGGGAAAGCGACUGCGCAGACUAGUCAGUCUUCGAAGCGCACUCGGACAGUUUCUCCUGUGCUGACUGAGAAGGCCCCAAAGCAGCCCAAAGUCGUACCGCAAAAACCUCAGAAGGCCUUGUCCAUAAUCAAAGUAGUUGUACCCAUUGCCUUUGGGUAAUUCCUGAAUUUGACUUCUUAGUUUGGCACAACUUGCUCUUUGGUCGACUCACUCCUCUGUUCUGACCGACUGAAAUUUGAGGUUUGUAGUGCUGCUACCUCUGGGACUUCUGCUUACAGAGAUGAUGACGAGAAAAUGGAAGACGCAGUCACUUCCAAUCCGGGUAUGAUUCCUGCAAUUUUGUUUUUACUUUAUUAGCCACUUUCUUGGUCGACUGAACUCUAGCGAUAGAUUCUUUUGCAGCUCCUCCCAAUGUCAUUGAUCUUCCAGACGACGACGAGGAUGUGCCACUGAGGCCUAUGGGAAGGACGAGUAGGAAAACAUCAACUGGUAAGACGCCUCAGUCGACGCCAUUGACGGAACCGGUGAUCCAGGAGACCGGCGAUGCCAAUCGGGCUUCUGUAACUUUUGCCGUACCAUUGUCGAGUGCCCAGCCCUCAGCAUCGACUGCACAGAUUCCAGCUGAUCCACCGUCUUCACUCUUCACUGCGCAUCAUGUCCUAGAGGACCAAGUGGCUGCUGCCAAGGAAGCUAUACGCUAGGCAGGCAUCAUGAUGGAGCAGAUGAAAGUGGUUCGAGAGGCCAGUCAAGCUACUUACGACGCCAACUCAGCUCUCCAGACCAACGUCAAGGUUGGUUGAUUUCCGACUGAUCCUUUAGCUUGUCGCUUGUUUUGUUAGGAUAUGCUACCUGAAAACUUUUCUUGUGCAUCUAUCGGUCAGUCUGUACUUUUGCAUCUGUACACCCAGUGGGUGUUUUCUCGAUCGAAUCGACUGGGUUAUGUUGGUUGUAGCUUUAGACUAGUGGGGGCAUGCAGAGUGCACCCACUGGGUGUAGUCCCUGAGGCCGCCGUCGAAUGUGUGAUUCGGCGGAGGUCUUGACAAAAAUAUAUUGUUCUCCAGUUCUUCCACUCGAUCUGGGCGUACCAUGUCGAGUGGAAUCUGAAGCAGUGGGGGCACGCUGAGUGCACCCACUAGGUGUAGUCCCCGAGACCGCGAUCGACUGCGGGCAGUCAGUUGGGGUCUUAGAACAACUGUUGCAUUCCUCUUUUUUUUACUCGACCUGGUCGGACCAUGUCGAGUAUAAACUGGACCAGUGGGGGCACGCUAAGUGCACCCACUGGGUGUAGUCCCCGAGACUACUGUUGGAUGUUUGAUUCGGCAGUAGUCUUAGAACUUUUUUGAACUUGUCACUCUAUUGCUCGGAAGCAACCAAUCUUCAUGUCUGUCGACUGAUUAUCCCCUAACCACAGAAAUCUUGUGAACUUGGAGCUCGGUUUGCCGACUUGGAGCAGAAGCAGAUCCAGCUCAAUCUUGAUCUGGAGUUAGCCAAGACGAAUUUGCAGAAGGCUAAGGAUGAUGCUGUUGGUAUGAAAAACUUGUCGACUGACUCUUUUCUGAACUGAGUGUUAUUUCUUUCCUCUGAACCAAGUGUUAUCUCUUUCAGAAACGAUGAACCAAGCUUUGGCGCAGAAGGAUCUGGAGCUUGCAGCCGCACAAAAAACAACAGAAGAGAAAACUGCACUUGCCAACCAGAAGCUGGUCUCAGUCGGUAAACUGGAAGAAGAGAACACCAAGCUGAAGGCUGCUCUUGAUGAAGCUAACAAGGAGGCGACUCGACCGAAGAAGGACAAAAGAACCCUAACCGACAAAAUUGAAGACAUCGCCCGCAAGAAGUUUUUCGUUAUGCUUGAAGGUGCUUUUCCUUGUCCAACUUAUUUGUUGUUGUCGACUCGUUACAUAGUUGUUGACUGAUCAUUUUAUUGCGAGUGCAGAAUUCUGCCAGAACUUCGAGAAAGAGACUGGGAAAAUGGAGACAAGCUUGAACCCCAUCCUCUCCCCUGUUAAGGAUGAAGCCGCCAUGAACGUGCUCUGACUGGAAUCUCGUGUUGCUGGCAUUGUCGACUACCUUGCUCGGCUGAAAGUUGCAGAGUCACGAAUCGACACAGCACUCUGGCCAGGGGCGAUGCUCCAGAAUGACCUCGAGUCUCUGAUGACUCGACUCAAUGAGGUCCCUGGUCGAGUGCAGGAAUGGAAGAAGUCCUUUGCCCAGUGUGGUGCUGAUGUGGCUCUGUCUCUGGUUCGUGUCCACUGCAAGGAAGCCAAAGAAGAGAAGCUGGCAGCAAUCAAGGUCGCCAACACCAAGAGGCUUGACUUCCAGUCUUUCAUGGAGACUUUUAUUGCUGCUGCCACUUGUAUUGCAGAUGGAAUCGACUUGGAUGAAUUCGUCGAGCCUGCUAGUCCGCCUCCUGCGGAGUGAACAAACUUUUAUGAUCCGAUUAAAUUUGCCUCGGUAUACCGAGUGGUUUUUGUAACCGUUAAACUCCUUCGGGUCUGGUACCCGAGUACUUUAAUCCGUGGUCGGGAACCUCGUGGGAUUUAUCUUAAACUUAGCCUUUCUUUGAAUAUGCUUGUGUUUGCCUUCGAGUGGGACUUGUUUCUUCACUCAAAAUAGUUUUUUUGUCCUUGUGAUGCAGCUUUGAGGAGAAGGUCGCAGACGACCUGCACCUCGUCAUCCUUGCGGAUCUGGAUGGAGCGCAUAUUGUACUUAUGGCGCAGCUCUGAGGAGAGGAUCAUAGACGACCUGCACCUCGUCGUCCUUGUGGACCGGGAUGGAGCGCACAUUGUAUUUAUGGCGCAGCUCUGAGGAGAAGGUUGCAGUCGACCUGCACCUCAUCAUCCUUGCGGAUUAGGAUGGAGCAUAUGGCCAAGUCCUCGAGCAGGAAGAUCGUUCUUCACCCGGAACGUGUUGGGGAUAUUACCACUGGGCGUAAACCGGCCAAGAGAGGCCGGGUUAACAUCAUAAGUAGUUCAUCUGUAUCUAAAGCCCAUGAAGAAAGACGGUGACGCUUCAUGAAGGCCCAGGGCCCAAAGCCGGUUUAAGGCCUGUAGACACAAACCGACAUUGAUAUGUAAACUUGUGUUGUAAGAUAGAAGUAGCAGAGACUGAGCCGGACACGAUUAUGAGCUGGCCUCGGAGUCUGUAAACCGACAUGCGUCAACCCAUGUAUAUAAGGGGACGACCCGGCGGCGGUUCAGGGACAACAGACAACAACUCGAGACUCAGGCAAAGCGUAUUCACUCCCUGGUCAUCGAAACCCCAUCAAUUCCAUCACAACUAGAUGUAGGAUUUUACCUUCAUCGUAAGGGGCCGAACUAGUAUAAAACGCUCUUGCAUCCCUUGUCCGCUUUAACCCCUUUAAGCUAACCCAUAGCGAUGGCUCCACGACUAAGUCCUUUCUCUAGGACAUCUGCCGUGACAAAACCACAACAGUUGGCGCCCACCGUGGGGCUAUCGCACGAUGGUUUCAAGUUCUUGGAGGGCAACUUCGAAGGACUCAAGGGUUACGCUGUGGGCCGGAUGACCAAGAGUCGUCGCGGCAAGCUCUAUAUCGACGAUGCAGGCUGGGGCCCUGAGGCGGGCUCAAUCGAGUACGGGUACCGGGUCCCCUUUGGUAGCAUACACGUUUUCAUUGGCAAGAUCGGCGGACCGGGCCCUGAGCCGGACAUCUGCACCGACCUCGUCGAAACGGCUCAGCGUGCGAGAUCUGCCUGGGUCAGGCCUAUCAUGAAGCGUGCCUUCAUGGGAGUUAUCCAUGGAAGGGAAUCUGAGGAUAGAUCAGAAUCUGGUGGUGAGACCGUCGUUUAUUCCGGCGAUGAGUCAUCGACUGGAGAGAUCGAGUCGUUAUAUCAGUUACACGAUGGCCGGAUUGGGGGAUGUUCCGAUGGCGACAGUAUUCCGGACCCCUUUGAUCUGCCAAAUCGGGUGGUGAUCUUCAUGGCCGGCACGCAACCAGCACUCCAGUCUUCGACCGCAGAGGCGAUGAUUUGUGGAUCAGCGGCGGCGGCAGCGGCCGGGGCAGGAGGCCCUGUGCGACCGCCAGCUCAGGUUUUAUCUGAUCUAUUUGACGCGUUGGCAAUGCUAAUGGCGGAGGUUAACCCGGCGGAUUAGGAUGCACACAAUGCGGAAAUUACAAAAGUAAAAGAUCAGAUCACCCAUGUCAAUUGUGGACUUAGCUGCCUGUGUCCAGGAGGAAGGAGAGUCAACAACCCGUUGGGUGCGCCGGGUUUCGGAGAUUUUGCACUCAUCGGACCGCAUCAACGCUGACACCGCAGUUUUAACAUUGGAAGGCAAUUGCCGGUUUGAACCCCUGAAGUUCAAGUUGGGACGGCUCAAACGUCAUUGUAAUGACAUGGGAACCCUCAUGGCUGCACUUUUGAAGUAUGCCGACUCUGAUAGUACCAAGGAUCCUGAGUCUGAUGAUGAUAAGACAGGGAAGGGAAAGAAGAGUGGCAACGCCAAGGGGCAGCACCCCAACCCGGUGGGUCAAGGAAACAGCGGCAAGUGUAAAGCGGACAACGGUUUAGACUUUGUGGCUAACACUAGUACACACGACAAGGGCCAGCGGUGUAAGGAUAAACCGCCCCGGCGCAGUGGAAUGCCAAAUCCUAAUCCGGACCGUUUGUCGUAUCUGUUGAACCAGCCUUGUCCAAAGCAUCGGACGAAGGAGGAACCAUCCACACACCUCUGGAAAGAUUGUUACAUCAUGCAAGAGUUCAAAAAUUCUGACUCUUUCUGGUAUGAUCAUGGAUCAGGAGGCGGUUCAGACUCUGGCACUCAUGGGCCGGGUUAUGGCGGAGGAAAUUCCGGUUCAGGAUUCCAUGGCAGUCAGGGUGGACAUAACAAUCAAAGUAAUCAGGGUAAUCAAAGUGGCUAUAAUCAUCAGGGCAAUCAGCAGCAGCAGUCGGGUUACCAGAGCAACCCAAAGCAGUUGAAUAGCGGACAGUAUCAUGUCUUCAUCACUAGCUUGGACAACCCAAAGCCCAUUGUGUGGAGUAGAGAAGAUCAUCCACCCCGGGUUGACAAUCCGGGUCAUCUGGCUCUCAUGGUGGCACCUCAGGUGGGAGGUUAUAAGUUCACUAAGGUACUCAUGGAUGGAGGGAGUAGCAUCAAUAUCCUUUAUUAUGAAACUUUCCGUCACAUGGGGUUAACAGAUAAAAAUCUUAAACCGUCCAAUAUGGUGUUCCAUGGUGUGGUGCCUGGUAAGUCGGCAUAUCCUGUUGGUAAGAUAGCUCUGGAAGUGGCUUUUGGAGAUGAGCACGACUCAAGAUCAGAAACCUGGACCUUUGAAGUGGUGAAAAUCAGCAGCCCGUACCAUGCCCUAUUUGGACGGCCAGCUUAUGCUAAGUUUAUGGCAUGACCUUGUUAUGUCUAUCUGCAGCUCAAGAUGCCGGGUCACAAGGGAACUAUAACCAUGCAUGGGAGCCGCAAGAUUGCUCUGGAGUGUGAAGAAGGUGAUGCGGCUUAUGCUGAGUCGGUUUGUGCAACAGAAGAGUUGAAGUUUUACAAGGACAAUGUUGAUCUGGCAGAUAUGACUUCGUUGAAGAAACCAACUACAGAGCAUGAUCCGGCCCUGAAGUUUAAAUCGGCUGAUGAGACUAAGCUUGUUGACUUCAUACCUGGCGAUUCGUCCAAGCAGUUCAGCAUCAGCGCUAACUUAUAUCCAAAAUAGGAAGGCGCGCUCAUCGAGUUCAUCCGUGAGAAUCGGGACAUCUUUGCAUGGAAGCCUUCUGACAUGCCAGGUGUACCAAGAGAACUCGCUGAGCACACUCUCAAUGUUGAUCCUAAGUAUAAACCGCUCAAGCAGUUUCUCUGCCGGUUCAAUGAAGAAAGACGCAAAGCUAUUGGAGAAGAAGUAGCCAGGCUCUUGGCGGCUAGAUUUAUCGUUGAAGUAUUCCAUCCUGAGUGGUUGGCUAAUCCGGUGCUAGUCCUCAAGAAGAAUGGCACUUGGCGUAUCUGUGUGGACUACAUAGAUCUCAACAAAGCUUGUCCGGCAGAUCCUUUUGCCCUUCCCCGUAUUGAUCAAAUUUUUGAUGCUACGGCGGGUUGCGAGCGUUUAAGCUUUUUGGAUGCAUACUAUGGUUAUCAUCAGAUCAAAAUGGCAGUUAAGGACCAAGAGAAGACAGCCUUCAUAACUCCCUUUGGAGCCUUCUGCUAUGUGUCCAUGCCCUUUGGGCUCAAGAGUGCCAUGGCGACUUAUUAGCGGUGUGUACAGAAUUGUCUUCAUAAGAAGAUCGGCCGCAAUGUUCACACCUAUGUGGAUGAUAUUGUGGUCAAAUCAAUGAAGAAGGAAACAUUGAUUGAUGACUUGAAGGAAACCUUUGAUAACCUGCGGGUUUAUAAAAUGAUGCUUAAUCCGACCAAGUGUGUCUUUGGUGUACCUGCAGGCAAACUCUUGGGUUUUUUGGUGUCUAACAGGGGCAUUGAAGCUAAUCCGGAAAAGAUCAAAGCCAUCACCUCUUUGACUAAACCAAAGUGUAUCAAUGAUGUUCAACGCCUGGCAGGCCGGAUUGCCGCGUUCAGCCGGUUUGUCAGUCGCCUUGGCGAGAAGGCCAUCCCUUUGUAUCAGAUGCUGAAGAAAACGGAUAACUUCGUCUGGAGUGACGCCGCUAAUGAAGCAUUUGAGGACUUAAAGCGGCAGCUAGCUAACCCGCCGAUUCUCGCUGCUCCGGUUGACAAAGAACCGUUGCUGCUAUAUGUGGCAGCUAACGCUCGGGCUGUUAGUGUGGCUAUUGUGGUAGAGUGCAAAGAGGCAGGAAAGGAAUAUCCGGUUCAGCGGCCAAUUUACUAUAUCAGGGAGGUACUUAUUGAGUCCAAGCAGAGGUACACGCAUUCGCAAAAAUUGGUGUAUGGGGUUUUCAUGGCAAGCCGGAAGCUGAAGCAGUAUUUCCAAGGUCAUCCCAUCACGGUGGUCAGCUCUGCUCCUUUGGGAGAUAUAAUCCAGAACAGGGAAGCAACCAGCCGGAUUGCUAAGUGGGCUAUCGAGCUCGGGCCUCACGGGUUGAAAUACGUGCCCCGAACGGCGAUCAAAUCUCAGGCACUUGUGGAUUUCAUCAAUGAUUGGACAGAGUUACAAGCACCAGAAGAGAAGCCGGAUCAUACUUAUUGGACUAUUCAUUUUGAUGGGUCCAAGCAAUUGGAGGGCUCGGGGGCUGGAGUCGUAUUAACUUCCCCACGAGGUGAUAAGUUUUGUUAUGUUCUCCGUUUAAUGUUCCCUUGCACUAACAAUGCAGCUGAAUAUGAGGCUUUACUCCAUGGUCUUUGGAUGGCCAAGGAGAUGAACUUAAGCCGAGUUAAGUGCUUCGGUGACUCGGAUCUUGUGGCUCUACAAGUGUCCGGCACUUGGGAUUCCAAGGACCCACUCAUGGCAGCAUAUCGUCGUGCGGUGGAUAUUGUUGCAGGUCACUUUAAAGGUUACCAGGUCGAUCAUUUGGACCGGCGAAGGAGUGAAGCGGCGGACGCUUUAAGCCGCCUGGGUUCCCAACGUAAACCGGUUCCACCUAAUGUCUUCUUGGAUGUUUUGCAUAAUCCGUCCGUCAAGCUCCCUGGUGAAGAGGAUUUGGCUAUUCCUGAUCCGGAGGCCCAAUUGGUGGCGGCUCUUCAUGUUAUCCCAGAUUGGACGGUUCCAUAUUUGGCGUACAUAAACCGGGGCGAGUUACCAGAGGAUGAGACUUUGGCCAGGCAGAUAACCCGCCGGUCCAAGUCCAUGACUGUUAUCAAUGGAGAGUUACAUCAUUGCAGUGUGACAGGGCGUUUCAACGCUGUGUGUCUCCUGGGGAAGGCCGUGAAAUUUUGCGUGAGAUCCACGAAGGAGAUUGUGGUCACCACGCUGGUUCAAAAUCUUUGGCGGCCAAGGCGUUCCGUCACGGUUUCUAUUGGUUGACAGCUCAUGCUGAUGCCGAGGACUUGGUCAAAAGAUGUGAUGGUUGUCAGAAAUUCUCAAGGCGCGCUCAUGUACCAGCUCAAGAAUUGAGGAUGAUUCCAAUCACAAGGCCAUUUGCAACUUGGGGGCUGGAUAUGGUUGGGCCUUUCAAGAGGUCCAAGGACAAGAAGACCCACCUUUUGGUGGCGGUUGAUAAGUUCACAAAAUGGGUAGAGGCAGAGCCAGUUAGUAAGUGUGACGCGGCCAUGGCGGUUCAAUUCAUCAAAAAGGUGAUCUUCCGGUUUGGCUUUCCACACAGCAUUAUAACAGACAAUGGUACCAAUCUGUCAAAGGGUGCCAUGAAGGAGUUCUGUCAACGUGAGCACAUCCGGCUUGACGUAUCAUCAGUGGCUUGCCCCCAGUCCAAUGGUCAACGGAGAGGGCCAAUCAAGAGAUCUUGAGAGGCAUCAAACCCCGGCUUAUGGUUCCUUUGCAACGGACGCCGGGUUGUUGGGUUGAGGAGCUACCUUCAGUGUUAUGGAGCAUCAAUACCACACCCAACAGAUCGACUGGAUACAUACCGUUCUUCAUGGUUUACGGAGCGGAAGCAGUUCUUCCUAGUGACAUCCGUCAUGACUCACCUCGUGUAGCAGCAUACAUUGAAGCUGACAACGAGAAGGCACGGCAGGAAGCUCUUGACCUGUUAGAUGAGGAGCGUGACAUGGCGGCAGCCCGUUCGGCGAUUUAUCAGCAAGAUCUGCGUCGUUAUCAUAGCCGCCGGGUUAGAACCAGAACCUUUCAGGAAGGAGAUUUGGUGCUUCGACUCAUCCAAGACCAGACGGAUAUGCACAAGCUAUCCCCCCCUUGGGAAGGACCUUUUGUGGUCAGCAAGAAUCUGCACAACGGGUCAUACUACCUAAUCGAUGUUCGAGAGCGCAAGGACUCACGUAAAUCGGAGGAGGAGACCAACCGGCCGUGGAAUAUUGCUCAUCUUCGACCCUAUUAUACUUGAGCUACAGGCUCUGCUUAUGUACAUAUUAUGACAUUGUAUAUAUUAUGAUCAAUAUAAUAAACCAGAAUCUCAGCUAAAGCGGGGUAUCUGUUGUUUUCUUACAUCAUGUGUGGUUACAUGGAGCUUACAAAGCGGCGUCCGGUUUACCCCUUGAUUCAGCUUCUCAAAGCUUGAUAUUAGAUCACUUGGGGGCUUGGUCGUAUCCGAACCAUAGCUACACCUCUUGAUCGGCGCAAUGCCACAGCAUCACUUGGGGGCUUGGUUGAACCCGAACCAUAGCAACGCCUCUUGAUCGGCGUAACGCCACACCAUCACUUGGGGGCUUGGUCGAACCCGAACCAUAGCAAUGCCUCUUGAUCGGCGUAAUGCCACAUCAUCACUUGGGGGCUGGGUCGAACCCGAACCAUAGCAACACCUCUUGAUCAAAUUUGGGGCCUGACAGCCCGUGAAAAGCCUCGACUACAACGGUUUUAUUUGCCUUUUGCUAAGUUUCUUUUUCUUUUGCUAAGAUUUGUGACGUUUUCAAACCGGUGUUUAUCAACCCGGUUAGGUUGACAACUACAAGUUGUCAGUACAUGAUCAAGUUAUAAUCCGGAGACUAUCAGCCCGGUCUGGUUUUGACUCAUAGUCACCAGUAUGGAAUAAACCGGUGUUUAUCACAACCCGAAACAGUUUUAUUGUAAACCGGCAUUGUAUAACAAGAGAUACUUUUACUCCGGAUUAGGGUUAUUACCCUCAUUACAAGGUUGGUCAGCCAACACUAUGCCUAAAGAUCACAGGUAUCAUAUAUUUCCAUAUUUGGUUAUCUUUUACAACCUUGGUUAUAAACCUUGGUCAUAUAUAUAGUUGGGUAUCAUGACCCGCCCGAUGGUAAACUGCCAGGGCGCUUUAAGCUUCUUAUCUGCAGGAACAGCUUGAAUAAAUAGCUAUGGAUUAUGAACAUCAUAUCUCAAGCAUGGCGGAUUAACACGCAUCAGUUGCAGAUAAAUAUGCACGAAGGCAUAACAGACCAAGUGUUUUAACUAGCCUAUUACAAGGCGUUUCAGUGCCCAAAGGAAUAAUUGUUUUUCAAUAAACAUUGCAGUAUGGAAGAUUAGACUGGCCCCCGGGUUAUGAUCGCUGAGCAGCUUGACCUGACGGCUACGGAUCAUCUUGCACUGGUUCAUCUUCUUCGUCUCUACCCAGCGGCUGGAAGUCAACAGUUGUCCAGUCAAUCCCAGUUAAAGCUUGGAACAUAGCUUUGUCGCUUAUAAGGGUGGAUAGUUCAAUAUCAGGGGCAUAAGUGUGCAAACGGAUUGGAGGGAUCAGGUUUUGAGCCUCAGGAGUUGGUGCAGCAACCCGCUUGUUAUUGGUAUCAUAGCUCGCCCGGUAAAAUGAAAGAUCAGCCUCUUCAGCAAGUUGACAAGCCAGUGGACGUACUUCCCGGUUUAUGGCGCGGAGAUCAUCAGUGCCAAACUCUGACCCGUCUUCUUUUAAGCUUGGGUAGACUUUAGCCACAUCCGUCGUAUCAAGAUCAGGCACCCAUGCUGUUGCCCGGGUUAGUGCGGUUAGAGCGCCAGCCCUUGCAGCAGACCUCUUCAGCUCUUUUAUCCGGGCAGGCAGCAUAGAUAGCCUAUCUAAGGUAUCCUUGAUCAACGUCGGGGCGGCUUAUUAUGAGAAGCGGUGCAGAUAAUUCGUUCAGCGCCGGUAUAUAGUUGUUCUAUCAGCGUAUAGGCCGCCUUCAGCUUCUUCUGAACAUCAGAGCCCAGAUGACUAAUGCGAGUUCCUGCAUCAUUGCAAAUAUCAGUAAACCGGCAACGCAUGGGAAGAUAUGUUGACAGUAUUAAGGACAAGAUGCUUACCAAACACAGCAGCGGUCAUCGCAUGUACUUGCCGCUUUACCCCAGUCAGCUCGUCUACCACUGGUUUGAGAGCUGCUUCUGCAUCUUCAGCUCUUUUCCGCAAAGCGGAUUUCUCUGUGUUCCAAUCCGCCCGCUCCUUGGCAAAGCUUUCCUUUAGCUUUUCCAUAGCGGCUAAGGCGCUCGUCAGCUCAUCUUUUGCUUUGGAAGUUUCGACCAGUUGGGACUUGAUGUUUUCUUGCAGAUCAGCGGUUUGGCUUUCCUUCUUACUUAGUUCAGCCUAUAAAGAGACAGAUACAUAGUGAGUUGACAGUACAUAUUUGAAGUACCAAGCACAUAACAAGUUAUCCCCUUGAUACUUGGGGGCUAAUGCAUAUUUGCUCCUUAUCAGAAAUUUCUACAAGUCCCAAAUACAAUACAAGUAUUAAUCUUGGCACUUGGGGGCUAAUGUGUGUUUGCUCAAAAAACUGUUGGUAUAGGAAUUCUUCUACAGUCCCGGUUCAUCUUUAUAAAGUUAAACCGGCCCUUGGGGGCUAUCCCGGCGAAAGAGCGGUAUGCAAAGAUAAGUCAUGACAAAAUUCCAGGUUUAGAUUGGUAUCAUAAACCGUCACUUGGGGGCUACUAGGAGUUCAUAAACUGCAAUUGGACAAAAGAGAAAAAUAGUAGUUACCUCAUAUCGUUCCUUCAUCAAGUUUACGAAACUAGCUUCAUAGUCACGGCUGGUAUACAGACGGUUCAAGAAGCCAGAGUGAAUAUCUUGAGCAUUGAGAUGGGCGUAGCUUGAUAAAUCGGCAUUCCAUUUGCCUUUGCCGAUAGCAGAAAGAUCAUCCUUGGCAGUAUGCUUUGACAAAGCUACAGGAUUGCCAGGAGUGGUGUGGCCAGUAGCAGUAAUCAUAAUGUCAUCAUCUUGUUCAUCACCAGCCUUCACCGGAGUUGGCGGUUUAUCAGUGUCCUUAGCUGGACUGACCGGUUUGUCAUCAGUUCGGACAGGGCUGGUUGGCCGGUCUGCAUGGCUGGUAGUGUCAACUUGCACUUGUUCAGCAAGGAAAUCAUGGUCUUGAAGCAGCGGAUCGUGAAGCAUGGCGUCAGCAUUGGUUUCUUCCAGAUCUGGAGUUGUCUCCGGUUUAGCAGCCACAUUAUCAUCAGCCGGUUUGUUUAACCGAGCUUUCUUGCUAGGUCUUGGCUUGGCGCUGAGAAAAGAUAGACAUACGGAUCAGUACAGUAUGUAAAGAUAACACAUCAAGAGUAAAGACAUGUGCAUAGCUCACCCAGGAACUGUUUUGAGGGGCGGAAGCUGUGUGGCCGAGGAAUCGCGAGAGGAUGAGUGAGAAGUACCCUGAUAAUUUGAAUCAGACGGGUUAAGAGGCUGGUGAAAACAACUUUCUUUUGGACAUGAAGUAUCAAUGGGAUAAGAGACCUCUAAUCGGCUUUUCCGAACCGGACUGUUCGGUAAACCGGCGGAGGUAACUACCUGGCCGCUGCGCCAGGUUGUACGGCGAGCUUCGUGCUGCUGCGUCUUCAAAAGAAAGUUUGGGUCCAAGUAAGCAAGAGGGUGAGAAAAUUUUACUUUCCGGUUUGCUUGACGGAUUUUUGAUGUUGGCAGAGGAUCUGAAUCGGAGGAAAGAAUGGUUACCUCUACGUCCUCAGCAUGGCUGCCUUCAGCGUCGUCCUGAUAAUAAUCAUUGUCAAUGAGAUGUACGAAAAAUGAACCAAGAGAGUCAAGUUCUACCUCUGGUUUCGGAUUACACACAUCGUCAUCAGCUGGUAGAUCGGAGGAUGCAGUGGUUCUUCUCUUGGCAGGUUUCUUAACAACCUUGGUCUUUGGACGAACUGGCUUGACCGGUUUGUCUUGCGGCUUCGCCGGUUUGUCUUGUGAUGGUUUCUUGUUCCAGAACGGAUCAUCACCCUGUCAGAAAAUAAUCAUACUUUCAGAGAAUAUUUGGUCAGAAGCAAAUUCAGAUAUAAAGGAUUAUAUGAUUCUUACAGCUAGUGGUUUGUUGAAGGUGCAGAAAGGGAGUUGUCUGGUUUGGGCACAGACGGCUUCCGGUUCGUUCAGUAUUUUCUUUACAGCCUCAGUGAUUUCUUCGUUUGUAAGCUGAAUGUCAAUGUGCCGCUGAGCAUCCUUCAAACUCCUUGUGUACUCACACAUCAAACCGGGGCGCCGGCUUAAAGGCAGAAUGCUCCAGCUUAUCAUGCAACGAGCAAGAUCAACUCCUGUCCAACCGUUCGCCAUGAAGGCUCUAAGCUUUGAUAAUUGGGGAGCAUAGUUGGCCCGUUCUCUUGCUGUCAACCUCUGAGGAAAAGGAUGUGUGUUGCUAAGGCGUUCAGGGCAGUAACCCGUCAAAGGAUUCUCAUCAGAUGGAGAUGUAUCCAUGCAAUAAAACCAAGUUUGGUUCCACUCUUUGGGAUGACUAUGGAGUUUGGGAUGAGGAAAGGUGACUUCCUUCCUUUUCUGAACUGCCAUUCCGCCCAGUUCCGUAUUGGGUCCAUCUGAGAACUCUGUGUGACGGUUUAAGUGAAAGAAAUCCCGAAACAGUUCGACUGAAGGUUCCUCUUGCAGAUAAACCUCACAAAAGACUUGGAAGUGGCAGAUGUUGGUUACAGAGUUAGGACCAAUGUCUUGAGGGCGCAGUUGAAAACUAGCCAGUACAUCCCGGAAAUUUUUUGAACCGGGAGGGCUAAAACCUCGUCCGAGAUGAUCAACAAAAAUGACUACCUCUCCAUCCUUGGGUGUAGGAGGAUUUUCCGGGCCAGGGACCCUCUAGUGACAUCUUUCUUGGCUAAAGCGCCCGUUUUAACAAGGUUGCUUAACUGCACUCAUAGACUUGCUUAGCCAUGACAAGGAAAAUCUGAAACAUGAUUAUUACCGGUUUAAGAUUUACAGUGGACAACUAUACAGCGGUAUGAGGAUACAAGCAUAUUGGUAAACCGGAUUUGGUUAUUCAUAAACCAGAGUCUGACAAUGGAACGGUGUAAUGCAUUGACGGUUCAACAGGGGACUAACGAUAUCUACCGGGUCAUCAUUUUUCUGUGAAGUUAAACCGGCCAAUCUGGUAUUCAAAGCAUGUAAGAGAAGGAAGAAACAAGUUGCACAUCUUGCUAUGGUAAUUUCAGAUCUACCGCGCGUAGGAAAAACAGAAUAUAUUCUGACCUAAAUUCCAGCGCACUAAAAGUUCACCAAGUUGAGAUGAGUUGGAUAUCAAACAGGUGCUGAAACUACUACCACGCGAGAUCUAUGUGGUUUAAACUACUACCGCGUGAGAUCUAUGUGGUUUUUGGAUCUAAUCCAUGGAUAUAAACAAGGAAAAGGAAGAGCGGCGACGAACACUGAUGAACGACAGAAAACCUAAGUGCAGAUCUAUGGUAAGAGAAAGGGGAGACUUACGGAAGCUGUUGAGCAGCGGCGGCACGCGGAGGAGCUCUGGUACGUUCAGGUCGAUGCUGCGGCCAAGGUUGGUCCAGCAGUCGAAGGUUGACGGCGGCGGCCGAGGUCGAAGGGUCGAGCGUCGCGAGGAUGACGAUGAAGCAAAGAGGCACGAGGGGGAAAAUGGAAAGAUCCCCUGGCCCUAUUUAUAAGGGAGAUAAACGACAGACGCGAAAAUCAAGGAGCCGAAUUUUUGGAUAUGAGGCGAUGCUGUCGCCUCGAUUGUCGGAGGCUCGUUAAUGACAGGUGACGUCACGGCGGUUUACCAAGAUCCUAGAAGAUGAUGUCAUGGCGGUUUACAAGAUUGUAUGAAGAUGUUGAAGAAGAAAUUUUCUUAAGUAUUGAGGAUUGACAUGAACCAGUUCAAAUUAAUCUGGGGCCUAAUGUUGGGGAUAUUACCACUGGGCGUAAACCGGCCAGGAGAGGUCGGGUUAACUUCAUAAGUAGUUCAUCUGUAUCUGAAGCCCAUGAAGACAGACGGUGAUGCUUCAUGAAGGCCCAGGGCCCAAAGCCGGUUUAAGGCCUGUAGACACAAACCGGCAUUGAUAUGUAAACUUGUGUUGUAAGAUAGAAGUAGCAGAGACCGAGCCAGACACGAUUAUGAACCGGCCUCGGAGUCUGUAAACCGACGGGCGUCAACCCAUGUAUAUAAGGGGACGACCCGGCGGCAGUUCAGGGACAACACACAACAACUCGAGACUCGGGCAAAGGUAUUCGCUCCCUGGUCAUCGAAACCCCAUCAAUUCCAUCACAACUAGACGUAGGCUUUUACCUUCAUCGUAAGGGGCCGAACUAGUAUAAAACUCUCUUGCGUCCCUUGUCCGCUUUAACCCCUUUAAGCUAACCCGUAGCGAUGGAUCCACCACUAUGUCCUUUCUCUAGGACAUCUGCCGUGACAAAACCACGACAGAACGUGUUUUGAACUUAGGCGAGUACUGGACUGCAGCUAAGCUCCCGAUUGAGAGGGUUGCUCUUCACUCGGUAGGAUUUUUUGAACUUAGGCGAGUACUGGACUGCAGCUAAGCCCCCGAGUGAGAGGGUUGCUCUUCACUCGAUGGGAUUAUUCAAACUUAGGCGAGUACUGGACUGCAGCUAAGCCCCCGAGUGAGAGGAUUGCUCUUCACUCGGUGGGAUUUUUUGAACUUAGGCGAGUACUGGACUGCAGCUAAGCCCCCGAGUGAGAGGCUUGCUCUUCACUCGGUGGGAUUUUUCAAACUUAGGCGAGUACUGGACUGCAGCUAANNNNNNNNNNNNNNNNNNNNNNNNNNNNNNNNNNNNNNNNNNNNNNNNNNNNNNNNNNNNNNNNNNNNNNNNNNNNNNNNNNNNNNNNNNNNNNNNNNNNNNNNNNNNNNNNNNNNNNNNNNNNNNNNNNNNNNNNNNNNNNNNNNNNNNNNNNNNNNNNNNNNNNNNNNNNNNNNNNNNNNNNNNNNNNNNNNNNNNNNNNNNNNNNNNNNNNNNNNNNNNNNNNNNNNNNNNNNNNNNNNNNNNNNNNNNNNNNNNNNNNNNNNNNNNNNNNNNNNNNNNNNNNNNNNNNNNNNGAUUUUUUGAACUUAGGCGAGUACUGGACUGCAGCUAAGCCCCCGAGUGAGAGGCUUGCUCUUCACUUGGUGGGAUUUUUCAAACUUAGGCGAGUACUGGAUUGCAGCUAAGCCCCCGAGUGAGAGGGUUGCUCUUCACUCGGUGGGAUUUUUUUAAACUUAGGCGAAACGGAUUCGCAGCUAAGCCCCCGAGUGAGAAGCUUGGUCUUCACUCGGUGGGAUUUUUUCAAACUUAGGCGAAACGGAUUCGCAGCUAAGCCCCCGACUGAGAGGCUUGCUCUUCACUCGGUGGGAUUUUUUUUUCAAACUUAGGCGAAACGGAUUCGCAGCUAAGCCACCCACUGGGGGAUUUCAAACACAUGUAUAAUCGACAACAAUCAUUUAGAAGACUGUAAAAUAGUGUCUUUGAUGAACAAACUAAAAAUGCAUUUCUUAUUACAUCUCAAUAGUCUGAGUGUUUAAGUAUAAAAACGACGGAGCAACUCCGCAUUCCAAGCGCGCGGCUCGUCUUUAUUGUGCUCCACAUUGUAGAGGUGAUACGCUCCAUUGUGGAGCACCUUGGUGAUGAUGAAGGGACCUUCCCACGCGGGAGCAAGCUUGUGCGGCCGUUGCUGAUCCACUCAGAGAACCAGGUAUCCCUCUUGAAAUUCUCGACCUCUCAUGUUUCUAGCGUGGAAUCGACGAAGGUCUUGCUGAUAAAUGGUCGACCGGAUUAGGGCCAUCUCUCUUUCCUCUUCCAGAAGAUCAACCGCAUCUUGCCGAGCUUGUUCUACUUCGGCUUCUGAGAAAAGUUCCACUCGGGGUGCAUUGUGAAGCAAGUCACUCGGAAGCACAACUUCAGCCCUAUAGACUAGGAAGAACGGAGUUCGACCAGUCGACCGAUUUGGAAUUGUUCUCAAUCCCCAAAGUACUGAUGGUAGCUCAUCCACCCAAGCACCUGCUGCAUGUUUGAGGUCACGCAUCAAUCGGGGUUUCAGCCCUUUGAGGAUCAAACCGUUUGCUCUUUCUGCUUGCCCAUUCGACUGUCGGUGGGCGACUGAUGCAUAAUCAUCUGAAUCAAAAUUUGACCCAUUAUCUGUGAUGAUACUGUGCCGAACUCCAUAUCUGAAUGUUAACUCUCUGAUGAAGCUGACAUCAGUACUUGCUUCGAGGUUUUUGAUAGGUUUAGCCCCAAUCCAUUUAGUGAACUUGUCGACUGCUACAAGCACGUGGGUGAAGCCACUCCUACCAAUCCUCAAAGGUCCGACUAUAUCUAAUCCCCAAACUGCAAAUGGCCAGACGAGUGGAAUGGUCUUCAAAGCUGAAGCAGGUUUGUGGGACAUGUUGGAGUCGAACUGACAGCCUUCACACUUGUCGACUAUUUCUUUCGCCAUCUCAUUGGCAUGUCGCCAGUAAAACCCGGCUUGGUAUGCUUUGGCCACGAUGGUCAGAGAGGACGCAUGGUGACCACAGGUCCCCGAGUGGAUAUCAUUGAGGAUCAUUCGGCCUUCUUCUGGCGUGAUGCAUUUCUGACUGACUCCAGUGACACUCUCUCUGUAAAGCUGUCCACCCAUCACGGUAAAGGCUUUGGAUUGACGGACGAUCUGACGAGCCUCUUCUUCAUCCUCUGGGAGUUCCUUCCUGAGAAUAUAUGCAAUGCACGGCACUGUCCAAUCGGGAAUGACGACCAAAACCUCCAUGACCAAGUCGACCAUGGCUGGGAUUUCAACUUCAGUCGGAUCAGUGGAGCUCUUAGGCUGUGGGGGCUCUUCGGUGAAAGGAUCCUCUUGGACUGAGGGUGUGUGAAUAUGCUCCAAAAACACAUUGCUGGGAAUGGGCUCCCUCUUGGAACCUAUCUUUGCCAAGUCGUCGGCUGCUUGAUUUUUUAGUCUGGGUAUAUGGUGAAGCUCUAACCCCUCAAACUUCUUUUCCAACUUUCUUACUGCAUUGCAAUAACCAGUCAUAGCUGGACUCCUAACAUCCCAUUUCUUCAUUACUUGAUUGACCACCAAAUCUGAGUCGCCGUAAACCAUUAGGCGUCGGACGCCGAGUGAAAUGGCCAUACGCAACCCGUACAGAAGUGCCUCAUAUUCAGCUUCAUUGUUGGAAGAUUCAAAGUGAAUCUGGAGAACAUAAUUGAGCUUGUCGCCUCGCGGAGAUACCAGGACUACUCCAGUACCUGAACCAUUCAACAUCUUGGACCCGUCGAAGAACAUGGUCCAAGGCUCCAACUGAACCUGAGUCGGCAGUUGUUGUUCAAUCCACUCGACGAGAAAAUCUGCUAUUGCCCUUUCUUUGCCUCAAACUUGACAUCCAGCGGAAGGAGUUCAAUCGCCCAUUUAGCCACUCGACCAUUUGCAUCUCUGUUAUUCAAUAUUUCUGACAAUGGAGCGUCGCUGACGACUGUGAUUGCAUGAUCUGAGAAGUAGUGCGCAACCUUCUUUGUGGUCAAGUAAAUCCCAUAGACAAGCUUCUGAUAAUGCGAGUAUCUUUGCUUGGAUGGGGUUAAACCUUCAGAAAUAUAUAGUAUAUUGGGCGCUGAACCUUGUAGGCCUUUUCUUCUUCCCGCUCGACCGUGAGUACUGUACUGACAACUUGUCCAGUGGCUGCAUUAUAAAGCAGUAAAGGCUCUCUGCUGAUUGGGGCAGCAAGCACCGGCUGGGUGGAAAGCAGGGUUUUGAGCUCCGCAAACGCUGCGUCAGCUUCAGGAGUCCACUCGAACUUAUCAGAUUUCUUCAUCAGUCGGUAAAGAGGCAGUGCCUUUUCACCAAGACGAGAGAUGAAUCGACUCAAAGUGGCAAAACAACCAGUAAGCUUCUGAACGUCGUGUACACGCACGGGGCGUUUCAUUCGGAGAAUUGCUCCAACCUUCUCUAGGUUUGCAUUGAUCCCACGUUCGGAAACGAGGAAACCGAGUAACUUGCCACCCGGAACUCCAAACGUACACUUCGACGGAUUGAGCUUGAUAUCAUAUCUCCUUAGAUUGGCAAAGGUUUCAGUGAGAUCAGUCAGCAAGUCGGAACCUUUGAGUGACUUAACCACGAUGUCAUCCAUAUAUGCCUCCACAUUCUGAUUGAUUUGAGUGAGCAGGCACUUCUGUAUCAUGCACAUGAAUGUGGCACCAGCAUUCUUGAGACCAAAAGGCAUGGUGACAUAACAAAAGCACCCGAAUGGGGUGAUGAAAGCUGUUUUUAUUUCAUCGGGUCCAUACAGUCGGAUCUAGUGGUACUCGGAAUAUGCAUCCAAAAAAGACAACCGCUCACACCCCGCAGUCGAGUCGACUAUUUGAUCAAUGCGAGGAAGAGGGAAGUGAUCCUUCGGGCAGGCCCUAUUGAUGUGCUUGAAGUCGAUACACAUGCGGAGUGAAUCAUCUUUCUUAGGAACCAUGACGACAUUGGCGAGUCACUCGGAGUGGUAAAUCUCUCAGAUAAACUCAGCAGCCAAAAGCCGAGCCACUUCUUCGCCAAUUGCCUUUCUCUUCUGGACGGCGGACCGUCGAAGAUGCUGGUUUUACCUUUGGGUCGACUCGCAAAUGGUGCUCAGCCAGUUCCCUGGACACACUCGGCAUGUCAGAAGGUUUCCAUGCGAAGAUGUCCCAGUUCUCACGGAGGAACUGGAUGAGCACUUCUUCCUAUUUGGCAUCGAGUGUUGACGAGAUGUGAGUCGGAGCAGCACUGGGAUUAGUCGGGUGAAUAUGAAUUGACUUUGUCUCACCGGAUGACUGAAAUGCGGAAUCUGAAGCAGGCUUCUUUGCUCUCAACAAAUCACUCAUAUCUCCAUUCUUCUCAUAUUCUGCCAUCUCAACUACUGCCAUUUGCUCAUCGGCGAUCUUUGAGCCCUUCUAGAAACACUCUUCAGCUCGCUACCGAUUGCCAGUGACUGUGAUCACGCCUCUAGGGCCAGGCAUUUUCAGCUUGAGGUACACGUAACAUGGUCGAGCCAUGAAACGAGCGUAUGCGGUCCUGCAUAGAAUAGCAUGUUAGGCACUAUGAAAAUCCACAACUUCAAAUGUCAACUUUUCCUUACGGUAAUUGGUCGAAUCACCGAAAACCACGUCGAGUGUAAUCUGGCCGAGUGAAUCGGCUUUCUUCCCAGGGAUGACUCCGUGGAAUCGCAUGUUGCUUUCACUGAGCUUGGACAUCGGAAUGCCCAUCCCUCAGAGGGUCUCAGCAUACAGAAUAUUCAGACCACUGCCUCCAUCCAUCAGGACCUUAGUCAGUCAGGUGCCCCCAACGACCGGGUCGACCACCAACGCUUGCCUCCCAGGGGUGGCAACAUGCGGGGGAUGGUCGGACUGGUCGAAUGUGAUGGGAACCUUGGACCACUUCAAAUAUGUUGGAGUUGCUGGAGCUACCAUGUGUUACUUCUCUAUUGAUGACCUUCAAUCGACUUUUGCUUUCGAUAUCAGCAAAAAUCACCAGGGUGGAAUUGACGUUGGGAAAACCAUCAUCAUCUUCUUCCUUGUCCUCUCCUUGUCCGACUCCUUUUCCUUUUCACUGGGUUGUUUCUCUCGGAAUUGCUGGAUCAGGAGCCGACACUGUCGAGUGGUGUGUUUAGGAUAAAUCAGAUUACCCUCUACAUCCUUCUUGGUAUGAAUGUGACAUGGAAAAUCCAACACAUCAUUUCCUGCUUGAUCUUUUACUUUCUUGGGGAUCCAGGGCCCUUUGGGCUUCCCCUUGGACUUUCCUUAACCUACGACCAAAGCUUCACCAGGAGCUGCUGGCUCGGCUUUGUGUUUCUGAUUUCGACCUCCUCCGGUAUCUUGGGCGACUGGCUUGCCCUUUCCACUGCGAAGUCGGUCCUCUUCUUCUCCAUUAGCGUACCGAGUGGCUAUUUCCAUCAUUCGGGUGAGGGACAUGUCUCCUGUCCGACCAAAUUUUAGGUUAAGCUCUCGAUACCGUACGCCCUCCUUGAAGGCGCAAACUGUUUGAUGCUGAGAUACAUUUUCCACUGUAUAAUGCAAAGUGGUCCACCUCUGAAUGUAAUCCCUCAAGGUCUCAUUCGGCUUCUGUACACAAUGUUGCAAUUCUGCCAACCCCGCUGGUCGUUUGCAAGUACCUUCAAAAGUUUUGACAAACACUCGGGCUAGCUCUUCCCAGCUGAAUAUACCGCCUGGGGCCAACUGAUUCAGCCAUGCUCUGGCCAAACCCUCCAACAUCAGAGGAAGAUGCUUCAUAGCCACCUCAUCGUUACCACCAUCGAUCUGUACAGCCACUCGGUAGUCUUCGAGCCAAGUGUCAGGCUUCGACUCACCGGUAAACUUACUAACCCCAGUCGCCAACCUGAAGUUGAGGGGAUCUCGGUGGCCCUGAUGGCUCUGCUAAAGCACUCGGGACCUGAAACAUGUACUCUGCUUCCACUCGGGCGAUCUCUGUCUUGCCCUUCUCUUUGUGCCCGGUUCCUGUCGACCAGACCUUGCACCAAAAUUAACCUUGCAUCAAACCCAGGCUCUCUUGGGUCGACUGGAAAUCUCCGCUCACCAUCGUAUGGGUGCCUAUCAUCAUGAUGACGGGGCACAUAUGACCCGCCCCUCGGCGGGGGCGUAGGCACUCGACGGUAGUUAUCGUGGUCGAAUCGAUUAUCAAACUGCUCUUGAUGAUGCCCACGUUCCUCACGCCUCUGAGCCAACUGAACUGUAUCAGCCACCACAGAUCUGCUAUGGAUUCUGUCUCGCGACUGAGACACUGUUGUGUUCUGCUCUCCUACUGCUCGGAGUAAAGCCUGGAUCUGCAUCAAACCCCUACCAGCCUCCGACUGGGAAGGCUGAAUAGACUCGGCUAUACGGGCCGCAGCUGUGAGAUUCUGAAUUGGAGUGCGGUAUACCUGAGGUUGAGGCGGGAAAAGUUGUCGCUGCUGUCGACUGGACUCAGGGAUCCGCUGUCGAGCACGUUCGUCGAGUGUAUGCUGAAGGUUCUCCAGUCGAGUGCGCUCAGCCAAAUUAGCCAGGCGCGCCUCCUCCAAGGCCCGAGCCUCAGAGCUCUCCCCAACGAUGGGCGUGUGGAGCGCCUCCAUGUUGUGGCGGUGAAGCUCCUCCCUCUGCUGUGAAGAUAGGGUUUGGGGUGGUACUCUUCGUGAACGCGCGACGGAUCGCCGCCGCCAUCACCGCCACUAUUGCGGCGGAAACCAGGCGGGCUGCGUGGCGUGUCGACCAUCAAGACUUCUGCCGCAGGAUCCUUGCUGUCGCACUUGGAUAAAGUCUGGACGGAGCCAAUCGACAGAUCGAACAGGCCGUAGAGUGAUUUGUCGGGCUCGAUUGCCGCGACUUGGGGGGUGGCCGACUGGCGUGCCACCGCGUGCUUUACCCACCGCUGAAGCCGCGAGCGACCAGAUCGCUUACAGCGGCGAACAGCGGGGAGCGAAGAGACUGCAGGAGCCGAUCGAUACUGGGUCGACGGCUGCCGCAGAAGGACGUCGCGAACGCACGCGCGAAAGUGCGUCGCCCCGUGGACGGGGAGUGUCUCGACGUCAAGGGGAGCCUGCUGGAGCCAGGCGGAGUCGUCGGCGACGAAGAUGAGCGCGCCGAGACGGAUCUCGCGGCCCUCAGCCAAUCCACCGCUGGAAACCAUAAUGAUGGGAAUCGGAAAAAUCGCAACCUCACCAGAAAGUCACUAAGACACCUGCCCCAUGGUGGGCGCCAACUGUCGUGGUUCUAGGACUGACAGUAGAAUGGGGGUAGGUACGAGGAGGCAAGAUCCUAGCUAUGGUGAAGUUGUACACACACGAUUUACGAGUUCAGGCCCUUCACAGUGGAAGUAACCAAGGUUGUCAGAAUCGCGAUUUUGAAUCAGAUCGGAGCUCUGAUGGUAGAAUCGUAAAUCAUAGAAUCUUCACUACCAGGAUCGUAGAAACGUAGAUUUUAUGAACUAAAAUCAUAGAAUCAAAUGGGUAAGUUUGGAUCGUAAAGUCGUAGAAUCGUAUAACAGAACCGCGAUUCUAACAACCUUGGAAAUAACAGCCCUACGUCUCGGUGCUCGGGAGCUCGGUCGAUUGGAUUAUAUGUGUGGAGUUACAGGGGGUGUGAACCCUUGUGCCUGAGGAGGGGGUGGCUUAUAUAGAGUUUGCCAGACCCCUCCGGCCCUCAGUUACACAGGGUUCAAUGUACAUAAAGAUAGGAACAUUACUGGUAACGCCAGCAUUAAAGUUACAUAAAUGACCAUUAAGAUAACGGUGUGAACGCCCGACCAUUGUCAUUCAGAGUGACUUUAGACCUUCUGUUCUCCGAGUGGAUUCUGGUAUGGUCGAAUGGAAUUGGGAUAUCCGAGUGAACACUCAGUCGACUGGGUUGAGUCCUAUGGUGAUUCCAGUCGGUAGAAUCUGCUGUCCUUUGAAUGUCUUUGACUGUAGGGCAGUGUCCUUGGGUAGGGUACUCAGAUCAGGUCUAUUGCCCUACCCUAGGUACAUGUCAUCGUCACCAUGGUGUUAUUUUUGUGCAGAAAUAAAAUUUCUCGGAAUGACAUGAAAAUCCACGAAGACACGUUUUGGAAUUAAUAAAAAAUAUUAGCGAAAGAAUCAUCAUCAGGGGCCCAUACCCUAUCCAUGAGGGUGCAGGGCGCGCCCCCCUACCUUGUGGGCCCCCUGGGACUCCACCGACCUCAACCCCAACUCCAUAUAUUCACGUUCGGUGAGAAAAAAAUCAAAGAGAAGGAUUCAUCACGUUUUACGAUACGGAGCCCCUGCCAAGCCCUAAUCUCUCUUGGGAGGGCUGAUCUGGAGUCCGUUCGGGGCUCCGGACAGGGGAAUCCGUCGCCGUCGUCAUCAUCAACCAUCCUCCAUCACCAAUUUCAUGAUGCUCACCGCCAUGUGUGAGUAAUCCCAUCAUAGUCUUGCUGGACGGUGAUGGGUUGGAUGUGAUUUACCAUGUAAUCGAGUUAGUUUUGUUAGGAUUUGAUCCCUAGUAUCCAUUAUAUUCUGAGAUUGAUGUUUCUAUGACUUUGCUAUGCUUAAUGCUUGUCACUAUGGCCCGAGUGCCAUGAUUUCAGAUCUGAACCUAUUAUGUUUUCAUGAAUAUAUGUGAGUGCUUGAUCCUAUCUUGAAAGUCAAUAGUCAUCUACUAUGUGUUAUGAUCCGGCAACCCCAAAGUGACAAUAAUCGGGACCACUCCCGGUGAUGACCGUAGUUUGAGGAGUUCAUGUAUUCACUAAGUGUUAAUGCUUUGGUCUGGUACUCUACUAAAAGGAGGCCUUAAUAUCCCUUAGUUUCCAAUAGGACCCCACAGCCACGGGAGGGUAGGACAAAAGAUGUCAUGCAAGUUCUUUUCCAUAAGCACGUAUGACCAUAUUCGGAAUACAUGCCUACAUUACAUUGAUGAACUGGAGCUAGUUCUGUGUCACCCUAUGUUAUAACUGUUGCAUGAGGAAUCGCAUCUGACAUAAUUAUCCAUCAUUGAUCCAUUGCCUACGAGCUUUUCACAUAUUGAUCUUUGCUUAGUUACUUUUCCGUUGCCACUGUUAUACGAUUGCUACAAAAACCUACUACUGUUACUUUUGCCACCGUUACCGUUACUUCCAUACUACUUUGCUACUAAAUACUUUGCUGCAGAUAUUAAGUCUUUCAGGUGUGGUUGAAUUGACAACUCAACUGCUAAUACUUAAGAAUAUUCUUUGGCUCCCCUUGUGUCAAAUCAAUAAAUUUGGGUUAAAUACUCUACCCUCGAAAACUGUUGCGAUCCCGUAUACUUGUGGGUUAUCAAGACUAUUUUCUAGCGCCGUUGCCGGGGAGCAUAGCUCUAUUCUUUGAGUCACUUGGGAUUUAUAUCUGAUAAUCACUAUGAGGAACUUGAAAGAUGAAAGAACCAAGAUUUAUCCCUCAACUAUGAGGGGAGGUAAGGAACUGCCAUCUAGCUCUGCACUUGAUUCACCUUCUGUUUUGAGUAAAGUUGCGACACCUACUCCUGCUAUUGAUUCUGAUAUGUCGCAUGUUAUUGAUGAUACCACUUCUGCUAUGCAUGAUGCUUAUGAUGAAACUACUUCUAUGCUUGAUAAUACUGUGCCAUUAGGUGAAUUUCUUGAUGAACAACUUGCUAGGGUUAGAGAGAAUGAUAUUAUUGAAACUGAUAAUAUUGAUGAGAGUGAUGAUGAAGAUUCUCCCCCUAGAUAUGGAUUGCCUGAUGUGCCUGAGGGUUAUGUUAUGGAUGAAGAAACUGCUAGAGACAUUUUUGCUUGCAAAGAUAGAUAUGAUCUUAAGAAACUAUUAGCUAAGCUGAAAGAAAAGUCUUUGAAUGCUAGAAUGAAAUAUGACCCUGCUUUUGCUACUUCACCUAUCUGUAUCUCUAAUAAGGAUUAUGAUUUCUAUGUCGAUCCUGAGUUAAUUACUUUGGUUAAAUCCGAUCCUUUUUAUGGCUAUGAAUCUGAAACUGUUGUGGCACAUCUUACUAAAUUAAAUGAUAUAGCCACCCUAUUCACUCAUGAGGAAAAAAUUCGUUACUACUAUAUCCUUAAGUUAUUUCCAUUCUCAUUAAAGGGUGAUGCUAAAACAUGGUUUAAUUCUCUUGUUCCUGGUUGUGUGCGUAGUCCCCAGGAUAUGAUUUAUUUCUUCUCUGCUAAAUAUUUCCCCGCUCAUAAGACACAAGCUGCCUUAAGGGAAAUAUGUAAAUUUGUGCAAAUUGAAGAAGAGAGUCUCCCACAAGCUUGGGGGAGGCUCCUCCGAUUACUUAAUGCUUUGCCUGAUCAUGCUCUCAAGAAAAAUGAAAUACUUGAUAUCUUUUAUAAUGGACUAAGCAAUGCUUCCAGAGACCACCUGGAUAGUUGUGUUGGUUGUGUUUUCGGGGAAAGAACUGUUGAGCAAGCUGAAUUGCUAUUGAAUAAUAUAUUGAGUAAUGAUAAUGAUUGGACACUUCCUGAACCAACUCCUAAGCCAACUCUGAAGAAAAGGGGUAUUCUAUUUCUCAGUCCUGAAGAUAUGCAAGAGGCAAAGAAAUCUAUGAAAGAAAAGGGUAUUAAAGCUGAAGAUGUUAAGAAUUUACCACCUAUUGAAGAAAUACAUGGUCUUAAUAACCCAACACAGGUAGUAAAGGUAAAUUCUCUCUAUAGAUUUGAUGAAGGUGAUAUUCCUCGUAAUAAGUCUGCUAGCCAAUGCUUGGAUGAGUUUGAUAAUUUUAUUGUUAAGCAAGAAAACUUCAAUGCUUAUGUUGGUAGACGAUUGAAACGUAAUGCUUAUAUGGUUGAACACUUGAGUGAUUAUAUGUCUAGAGUUAAAGGUGACCUUAAAAUUAUUAGUAAACAUGUUUCUAUGGUUACCACUCAGGUAGAACAAGUGCUUAAAGCUCAAGAUGAUUUGCUCAAUGAAUUAAAUAAUAAGAAAAAUGGUAAUGCUAUUAGAGUUAUGACUAGAGGGGGUAAAAUGACUCAGGAACCUUUGUAUCCUGAGGGCCACCCUAAGAGAGUUGAGCAAGAUUCCCAGAGACUAAUGUUGAUGCACCUAGUCCUUCUAAGAAGAAGAAAAAGAAAAAUAAUAGGACUUUGCAUGCUUCUAGUGAACCUGUUGUUGACACACCUGAGAAUCCCAAUGAUAUUUCUAUUUCUGAUGCUGAAACAAAAUCUGGUAAUGAACAUGAAACUAGUGAUAAUGUUAAUGAUGAUGUUCAUGUUGAUGCUCAACCUAGCAAUAACAAUGAUGUAGAGAUUGAACCUGUUGUUGAUCUUGAUAACCCACAAUCAAAGAAUCAAUGUUAUGAUAAGAGAGACUUUGUUGCUAGGAAGCACAGUAAAGAAUGAGAACCAUGGGUUCAGAAACCCAUGCCUUUUCCUCCGAAACCAUCCAAGAAAAAGGAUGAUGAGGAUUUUGAGCGCUUUGCUAAAAUGAUUAACCUAUCUUUUUGCGUAUGUGUUUGACUGAUAUGCUUAAAAUGAAUCCUUAUGCUAAGUAUAUGAAAGAUAUUGUUACAAAUAAAAGAAAGAUACCAGAAGCUAAAAUUUCCACCAUGCUUGCCAAUUAUAAUUUUAAAGGUGGAAUACCUAAGAAACUAGGAGAUCCAGGAGUACCAACUAUAUCAUGCUCCAUUAAAAGAAACUAUGUUAAAACUGCUUUAUGUGAUCUUGAGCCGGUGUUAGUGUUAUGCCUCUCUCUUUAUAUCGUCGACUUGAUUUGAAUAAGUUGAUACGUAGUGAAAUAUCUUUGCAAAUGGCCGAUAAAUCAAGUGCUAUACCUGUCGGUAUUUGUGAGGAUGUGCCUGUUGUGGUUGCAAACGUUACUAUUUUAACAGACUUUGUUAUUCUUGAUAUUCCCGAGGACGAUAGUAUGUCGAUUAUCCUUGGUAGACCCUUUUUGAAUACUACAGGGGCUGUUAUAGAUUGCAACAAGGGCAAUGUCACUUUUCAUGUUAAUGGUUAUGAGCAUACGGUACAUUUUUCGAGGAAACAACCUCAAGUCCACAGUAUCAAUUCUAUUGGAAAAACUUCAACGAUUAUUAUUAGAGGUUUUGAAUUUCCUCUUCCUACUGUCAAGAAGAAAUAUGAUAUUCUUAUUGUUGGGGACAUGCACAUCCCCGUUGAGGUAACCUAGUGUUGUUCGAAAAUUCUCCGGUUUCAUGCGAUUCGGAAAGAGUUUGUUAACAAGACUUGAUCAACCUUGUUAGUGCAUUCCUUUUGAUGAGCAUGAGAUGGAUGAAGUUAGAAAGCACAACUCUCUGUACCCUCCUUUUACUUUCUGUUAUUUAGAUUAAAUAAAGAAAAAAAUAGUAUUUUCUGUCUGGUUUCUGAAUUAUCCUUGCAAUAAAAAAUACCCCAAAAUAAAACAUCCUGAAAAUGAAGUAUGAGUUUUUGUAAAAUAUUUAAGAAUUUAUGGCACUCAGAACACACCGGGGGGCUCACCAUUUGGCCACGAGGGCACAGGGCGCGCCCACCCCCUGGGGCGCGCCCCUUGCCUCGUGGGCCCCACGUGGACCCCCUCCACUUAUUCCUGCACCCACUCACCUCGUCUUCCUCCAGAAAAAAUCCUCCCAUAGCUCAAACCCGUGUUCUAGCUCAUUUUGCUGCCAUUUUCGAUCUCUUUGCCCAAAGCUCCAUUCGCAAAAAUGUUUGGGGAGAUUGUUCUUCGGUAUGUGACUCCUCCAAUGGUCCAAUUAGUUUUUGUUCUAGUGCUUUAUUUAUUGCAAAUUUUUGCUGCUAAGGUGACCCUCUUCUUGAGCUUGCAUGUCAAAUUUAUAUGGUCCAAAGUAGUUUUAACGCAUGAUAUAGCCUCUAGGCACUUGUGGGAGUAGUUGCUAUCAAUCUUGUUGAGUUUGGUUCACUUUUAUUUCGAGUCACUAAAAUUUCAGAAAUUUUUCAGAGAAAGAAUAAUGUUUAGGAAAAUGUACCAAGGUGGUUCCUCAAGGAAGCAAGGACCAAGGCUCGCGAUACGUGAGCCGGAUGAUGAACCACCGAGGGAAGCUCAAGUGCGGCCUUGUGAAUGGCCGUCAGAGGAGUUUAUGGUCCAAGCAGGCAUCAAGGAUGAAUUUGAUGCGUAUGUGCGUAACGCUGAUCUUGAGGGCUUCGUGUCAGAUAAGUGCCUACAAUACCGCUACCUAACUGAUUCCUCUACGCAAUUCUCACACUGUUUUAUUUGAUCUUUAUGAUAAAUCAUAUACCAUGGACCUAGAAGAUUUUAAUACUGCUUAUAAACUCCCGCAGGGGGGCAAUGUUAGUGAACCUCGUAAAACUGAAUAUAAAGACUUUCUUGCUAGUAUCACUAUGGGGGAAUCCAGAGAAAUCACACAAUCCACCAUAGGGAGCAUUCAUUUCCCUUCCAUACAUUAUUUUGCUCUCUUUAUAGGUAGAUGCAUUAACGGUAAAGAUGAGGCUUGUCACAUGUGCGUUCCAGAUCUUAGUGUCCUCAAGAGUGCGGUAUUAGGUGAUAAACAAUAUUACUUGGGGGCCAUUGUUGCACGAAGGUUGCAUCUUAACCGUACAAGUGGAGAUUUGUUUGGUGGAAUUUAUGCAACUCGUGUAGCUAAUUAUCUUGAUGUGCCCAUACAUGAAAAUGAUAUGGAAUUGCCUCCUGCUUAUCUAGAUUAUAGUGAUAUGGUUCGCCAUCAGUUUGUUGAGAGGAAUGAACAACCCCUCCAGUAUCGACUAAUCUUUGACAGACAGCGCACUGUCCAUGUUGCCCUCCCUGCUCCUACUUUCUUUAACUUUUAGGCAAAAAGGAGAUAUGUUAUAACCAGGGAGGAGGCGAACGAGUACGAGAGGAGGACGGAGGUAGCUCGCCUCCAAGCUGCACAGGCAGUAGCUGCUGCAUCUCAGUACGACCCCAGCUACGACUUUGCACAUCCGCCAGGCCAGUAGUGGCCAUAGACCAACUUAGGCCAAAAGCCUAAGCUUGGGGGAGUACGUAUUUCUCACCGACAUUCAUACAUGUUCACACACUCAUGCCAGUUGUCGGUGCUCAUACUUUUUCAUUGUACUAUCCAUUCUAGUUUAUUUUCUUUUCUAAGCCUUCUUCUUGUGUGUCUGAAAAACCUUAAGAAAAACAAAAAAAUAGUUGUAGGUUUUACCUAGUUUACUUUUCAUGCAUGUAGUAGUCGUAAUUAAAAGAAAACCCAAAAAGAUUUCUUGUUCUUCUUUUGCUUGUUGGGAGCUUUCCCGUGUAAAUAGUUUUAUUUCUUUUCUUUCGGGGUCGAGAGGAGAAGACCAUGAUGAAAAUGUCGAGUAGCUCUCAUAUGCGUUAUUGUUGAUUUAACCAAGAGCCCAUAUUACCUUGUCUUCUCCCUUGUAUUAAAUGCUUGCAGAUUCCAGCUUAAUCCAAUGCAUGUGCACUAUUAAUAUUAUCCACACCGUUCGGUCGUGCGAGUGAAAGGCAAUAAUGACGAUAUAUGAUGGACUGAUUGAGAUGAGAGAAGCUGGUAUGAACUCGACCUAUCUUGUUUUUCUAAAUAUGAUUAGUUCAUCGUUCCUGAUUCAGCCUAUUAUGAAUGAAACAUUUUUGCAAUGACAAUUAGAGAUUAUAGUUGCUCAUGCCAUGCUUAAUUUGCUAGGAGUUUAUAAUGGUUUACCUUGCAUGCCAACAUGCUAUUAGAAUGGUUGUGAUGUGAUAUGAUAGGGUGGUAUCCUCCUUUGAACGAUUCGAGUGGCUUGACUUGGCACAUGUUCACGCAUGUAGUUGAAACAAAAUCAACAUAGCCUCCACGAUAUUUAUGUUCAGGGUGAUUUAUAUCCUACUCAUGCUUGCACUCAUUGUUGAUUAAUCUUAAUGCAUGUUCAUGACUGUUGUCGCUCUCUAGUUGGUCGCUUCCUAGUCUCUUUCUAGCCUUCACUUGUACUAAGCGGGAAUACUGCUUGUGCAUCCACUUCCAUAAACCCCAAAGUUAUUCCAUAUUGUGCCCCCCUCGGGGCACCCCCCAGGAGCAGCUCUGGCCCAUUGGAUUCCUUCUGGUCCAUGAAAAAUCUCUGUGGAGUUUCGUUGUGUUUAGACUCCGUUUGGUAUUGAUUUCCUGCGAUGUAAAAAACAAGCAAAAAACAGCAACUGGCACUGGGUCAAUAGGUUAGUCCCAAAAAAUGAUAUAAAGUUGCUAAAAAUGAUUAUAAAACAUCCAAGAAUGAUAAAAUAACUGGAUGAAUACUUCAUAAAUUAUAGAUACGUUGGACACGUAUCACUACAUUACUUCUUUGUUGCAUGGAACAACCAAUACGAGUCGCCCCUAUGCGUCACAGUGCUAUUGGACGCGUUGAGCAUCCAAUAGGAGCUCCCUCUUCAGGGCAAAAGAAUGCUUGCGUAAAAUAGAAGGCCAAAUGCACAGAGAAUGCCAGAUGGCCCGACUCAUUUACACACGGACAGGUGUGAUUGGUUCUUUUGAGAAAAAGAAUAGGUCUGCAGGUUUUAGUUGUUUUCCUUCAGGGUUUUUCUUUGAUUUCCUUUUUUACAUUGUCAUUUUCUAUUUCAUUUUUCUUUUCUUUCUUUCUUUCUACUUCCUAACAUUUCAUUAACACAUUUUUAGAAAUAUAAAAAAAUUGAAUAAGAGAACAUUGGUUCAUUACCUAAGCCUUUUUAAAAUUUAAGAAACUUUUUGAAAAAAUUGUAUUCAACUUUAAAAUUCAUCAACAUUUUAUAAAUUCAUGGGGUUUUGUAAAAAAAAUCAUGUAUUUUUGAAAUAAGCAGUUUUAGUGUUACAAUAUUUUUUCAUCAGUAAAAAAAUCUAACAACUAGUUUUAUUGGACAAAAGCACGAUGUAGACCGUAGAAAGAAAAAUAAAGUGAAGAUGAGAACUGCUCUCCACACACAACCCAUUGUGACAGAUUGUUGCUAAAAUGCCCACAUGAGCCGGCCCAGGUAGCGCUCCUACUCUAGAAAGAUUCUGACAUCAUUCGAUCUAAAGAAAAACUAGUUGAAAAAUCCAGGACCCGCACCAUUGCCGAUGAGGGUGUGGAUAUGCUCAUUGAUAGAUUGUUGCUAAACUUCCCACAUCAUAAAUUUAGUUUUGAAGGGCGUGCUAGAACGGUGAAGCACAUAGUCUUGUCAAGUUUUCACAUUGUUUAGGUCAGGGCACCAUGGCUAGUUGGUCAACCCUAUGAUCUAAAUUGUAUUCCACAUAUUGUGGUCAUUGAUCAAUAAAACUUGGCUUUAUCUCUAAAACAUUUGAAAAAUCCAGAGCGGCAUGUUUGGAGAAAAUUGUCUAGCAGUUGUUUUUGUCAUGUUUGAAAAAUACAUUGUUCCAAAAAAAAUUAUGAUUUAAAUUCAUGAACUUUCAAAAUGCUCUAAAUGUUUAAAAAUAUUCACAGACUUAAAAAUCAUUUUCUGAUUUUUUUUAAAUGUGCAUAAAUUUUAAAAUAGUUCGUGUUUUAAAAUCAAAUUAUAACUAAAUUUUAAAAAAUUAAAACCAGAUAGGCAAGACAAAAACUCUGUAAAAUCCGAAGAAAAAGAAACAAACUAGAUAACAAAACCAACUGAAUAUACCAAAAACGUCGAUGCUUCGAGUUGUAGAUGGGCCAGCCUAUGCAACACUCAUCACGUGCAAUAUAGUGUCUAUUCUUCGUGGGCAUGUAUAUAUGUCGUCCUUUGGGAGUGGAUCAACGUGUUGUCGGCAACCGCACGUAUAACUGAAAAAUUAUCUUAAUCAUUUACAUGUAAUCAAUUUGAAUAAUGGAAAGAGUAAAACAUAUAAUAAAAAAUAUUGCAAGCCCACAAAAAAUACAUAUCCGGGUACUUCCAACCAAUUUGCAUGUAUUUUAAUAAACAUUCUUCGUGUGAACAUCUUUUUUUAAAUAAUAGGGGUAUUUACAUGUGCCCCUAGUUAGUUUCCACUACUCAAGUUUGCCCUUAAUUUAUUGACCUACUUAGUUUAGCCCCUGUUCCAUCAAUUGUGUCAAUAGAACUACUCUCCCCAGUUGUUUUCAUCCAGUCAAACGGCUUCGACCGUCUCUGAGAUAUUUCUUGGACCAUUUUGCCCCUCCUUACUAGAAGGACCUCUUCAAAAUACUCUUGUCUCUCUCUCUCUCUCUCUUUCCUCCCUAGUCUAUUUCAUUGCCGGUUCCCCAAUCCACUACCCAAACCUAGCAUUCAUCCCCUCUCCUUUUUGAGUGACCACUCAUGAUGUCCUGAGUGGGAGUGCUCACGGAUGGAGUAUAUCUGAUUUGACCAAAGGGAGAGGAGGCGGUGUGCACAGGGUAUGUCAGACGAUGGGGGUUGCGUCGGUGGUAACAAGUGGAGCUCACCGGGAAUGUGAGAGAAAAGAGGAGGGGGCAUGGGCGUACCUUAGUCUAGCCAUCAUGCAUUAUUCCUAACGGAGGGCGCCAAGUCAGGAGAAAUGGGGAUGGGAGGACCGAAGUGAACGAAAUAUGCCAUAGAGGCAAUAAUAAAGUUGUUAUUUACAUUUCCUUAUAUCAUGAUAAAUGUUUAUUAUUCAUGCUAGAUGUGACGCCCGGAUAAUCAAGCUACAGUAAACCUCUGCUAAUGGUGCCACGUCACCUCGGUUACUGUUGAUAACUCGAGUUAGUUCAAAAACGAAUCAAAUUAAAAUCUAAAAUAUAGGCAAACAGUAAAAUUUUCAUAUAUCAAGACUAAAAUGUUCGGGUUGUGUCAAAUAAAUCGUAAGUAAUUAUGGUGGAGAAACCAAGCUUUGAUAAAAUAUUUGAAGGCUCUAAAACAAUUAAAACAAUAGUGAAAACAAUUAAACAAAUGCCUAAUGAAUUUAUAAAAUGCUAAAACUAUUUUAUUAUGGGUUAAGGAUUAAUCUCACAGUAGUUUGUUGAUAAAUACAAAUUUAGGCACUAGUGGUAAUUUUUGUAAAACUAAAAAUAAAAGAAACUACAAAUAAAAAAAGAAAAUAAGAAAAAGUAAAGACAAAACAAAUAAAAGCAAAAGGGGGACAACACCCCCCCUCACUGGGCUUGGCCCAACUGUUCACCAGGCCAACCAGGCUGGCCCAGCUGCCCACUACUAACCCCCCACCCCCGGCCGAACCCUAAACCGCUACCACCCACACCCACUCGCUCCCACACAACCCCCACGCCGUUCUCUCCCCCUCCCCGACCCAGAUCUGGAUCGGGGGAACGAACCCACGACGCCCAUCCCCGUCGCCCNNNNNNNNNNNNNNNNNNNNNNNNNNNNNNNNNNNNNNNNNNNNNNNNNNNNNNNNNNNNNNNNNNNNNNNNNNNNNNNNNNNNNNNNNNNNNNNNNNNNNNNNNNNNNNNNNNNNNNNNNNNNNNNNNNNNNNNNNNNNNNNNNNNNNNNNNNNNNNNNNNNNNNNNNNNNNNNNNNNNNNNNNNNNNNNNNNNNNNNNNNNNNNNNNNNNNNNNNNNNNNNNNNNNNNNNNNNNNNNNNNNNNNNNNNNNNNNNNNNNNNNNNNNNNNNNNNNNNNNNNNNNNNNNNNNNNNNNNNNNNNNNNNNNNNNNNNNNNNNNNNNNNNNNNNNNNNNNNNNNNNNNNNNNNNNNNNNNNNNNNNNNNNNNNNNNNNNNNNNNNNNNNNNNNNNNNNNNNNNNNNNNNNNNNNNNNNNNNNNNNNNNNNNNNNNNNNNNNNNNNNNNNNNNNNNNNNNNNNNNNNNNNNNNNNNNNNNNNNNNNNNNNNNNNNNNNNNNNNCGGCCUCCCUCGAGCCUCGUCGCCCCCUGGUCUCUACUCAACCAUGAGGACCCCAACCCCUCUCUUCUCCCCUCUGCUCCCUACCCCCCUAGCCACCGCGCUGCCCACGCCCGCGGCCACCGUCCGGCUUCCGCGCCCGCGGUCACCCUGACGCCGUGCGCCUGUUGGCCGUCCAGCACGCACAUGCAUCGCCCCGUCGCCGGCCCCUUCCGCUGGCCACUCCCGAUGCCAAUGCCCGCUCCUGCCUCGCGCACGCCGCCCUACGCGUCCCGGACGCGCACGGCUCACGCCAUGCACUUGCCCCACUGGCGUGCUCCACGGCCCCCGUGCCUCUCUCGUUGCUGCCUCGCGCCCUCGCCUCCUCUGCACCCGCGCCCUGCUCGCUCCUCGAGCUACUGCUGUGCCGCACGCGUGCUGCCUGCUGCUGGGGCCGCCGCCGCCCCGCGCCGUGGCCUCGCGCUCACCACCCCGCUCCCGGCGACCGCCCUGCUCCAUCGCCGGCCCUGGGCGAGGCCCCCCUGCUACGCGGGCAUGCCCAGCCGAGGCCAGGGCCUCGCCCUCGAUGGGCGCCUGCAACCGCGCCCGAGACCCGCGCCCGUUCACCCGCUAGGGCUCCCGUGAGCCACUGGCCUUGGGGCCCCACGCCCCCUGGAACGUUUUAAUAAAAAAAUGAUUUAAAAUAAAUAAAUUAAAUUAAUAAAAAUAAAUAAAUAAUAAAGAUAAUUAAUUAACUUAAUUAACCCUAUUAAUAUUAACUAAUUAAGAUUAAUUAACCUAAUAACUAAUUAAACUAAUUAACUACUGUUAAUUAGCUAACAGCCCCUGACAGGUGGGACCCACCUGUAAGGUUAACCAGGUCAACGGUCAACUGCUGACGUCAUGCUGACGUCAUGCUGAUGCAUUAAUUAAAUUUCGAAUUAAAUUAAUUUAUUAAAUUCUAAAAAUGAUUUAAAUCUUUAAAAUUUAAUAUAAAAUAAACCGUAGCUCGGAUGGAAAAACUUUGUACAUGAAAGUUGCUCAGAACGACGAGACGAAUCCGGAUACGCAGUCGUUCGUCCGCCACACAUCCCUAACAUAUCAAACUCGCAACUUUCCCCCUCCGUUUCAUCUGUCUGAAAAUAUGAAACAUCGGGAAUACUUUCCGGUUGUUCCCCCCUUCGUCGGUAUCACCUACUACCGCGUUAGGGCACACCUAGCACCGCGUAUUGUCAUGUCACGCUUUGUGUUGCUUUGAUUGCUCUGUUAUUUAUUGUGUUCCCCCUCCGUUACUUCUUUCCGGUAGACCCCGAGACUACCGGCGACCCCCAGUUCGACUACGAAGUUGACGACCCCUCCUACUUGCCAGAGCAACCAGGCAAGCCCCCCCCCCUUGAUCACCAGAUAUCGCCUAUUCUUCUCUCUAGUGCUUGCAUUAGAGUAGUGUAGCAUGUUACUGCUUUUGUUAAUCCUAUUCUGCUGCAUAGUCUGUCAUUGUUGCUACAGUUGUUACCCUUACCUGCCAUCCUACUGCUUAGUAUAGGAUGCUAGUGUUCCAUCAGUGGCCCUACACUCUUGUCCGUCUGCCAUGCUAUACUACUGGGCCGUGAUCACUUCGGGAGGUGAUCACGGGUAUAUACUAUAUACUUUAUAUACAUGACACAUGUGGUGACUAAAGUCGGGUCAGCUCGUUGAGUACCCGCAAGUGAUUCUGAUGAGGGGGCUGAAAGGACAGGUGGCUCCAUCCCGAUAGAGGUGGGCCUGGGUUCCUGACGGCCCCCGGCAGAGUUGAAGAUUGACACGAGCCGGCUCAAGUCAAUCUGGGGCCUAAUGUUGAGGAUAUAGACCUGGGAGUCACCCGCCAGGAGGGCCGGGUUACACUAAGGGUCAUUGCCAGAAGCCCGGAGCUAAGUUUCAAGAUAAAUGGGCCAGAGAUGGGCCGAGACCCGGCGUGGCUUAAAGCCCGUAGUACAAUCUUUAUUGUUAUAGUAGACUUGUAGUGUAAGGCAAGUAUGGUUUAGAGUCCGAGCCGGACACUCUUAUGAGCCGGCCGGGACUCUAAGGGCCGCUGGGCGUCAGCCUCCCUAUAUAAAGGGACGACCCGGCAGCGGUUUAGGGGCGACAACAAUCUCAUCGAGAGCCGGGCAUAGUUGUUUAGCUCCCUGGCAAUCGUAACCCUAAUCAAUAACACCUCGAACUGGACGUAGGCUUUACCUUCACCGUAAGGGGCCGAACCAGUAUAAACCCUCGUGUUUCUUGUCCCGCAUAACCCCUUCAAGCUUCCUAGUUGCGAUGGCUCCACGACUAAGUCCUAGCUCAAGGACAUCUGCCGUGACAAUUCCACGACAGUUGGCGCCCACCGUGGGGCCGGCGCACGGUGGAUUUGAGUUCUUGAAGGGCAGCUUCGAAGGGCUCAAGGGAUACGCUGUGGGCCAGAUGACCAAGAGUCGUCGCGGCAAGCUCUACGUCGACGAUGCGGACUGGGGCCCCAACGCCGGCUCAGUGGAGUACGGGUGCCGGGUCCCCUUCGGUGGAAUUCAUGUCUUCAUCGGCAAGAUUGGUGAGCCGGGCCCCGAGCCGGAUCCCCGCGCCGAUCUCAUCGAAACGGCUCAGCACGCACGACCCGCCCGGGCCCGGCCUGCCUUAAAGCGCGCUUUUGUGGGAUGCAUCCACGGAGGGCCCUCUGAUCCAUCCGGGUCUGGUGAUGAGGCGGCCGCCGGCUCUGACGGCGAGUCGGCCGCUGAUGAGUCAAACUCGUUGUACCAACUUCAAGAUGGCAGGCUCAUGAGUUAUUCCGAUGGCGACAAUAUUUCGGACCUUUUUGAGCCGCCAAGUCAGGUUGGAGUUUUUAUGGCCGGCGCGUAGCCUGUUCAGGACCCCGUUGCCGGAUCAGGAAACCCGGUGCCUUCCCCGGCUCAGGUGCUGAUGGAUCUCACGGACAAGAUGACGGCCCUGUUAACUGCCACGGUUGACCCGGCAGAUCAAGCUCAGCAUGAUGCGGAGGUGGCACAGUUAAAAUUGGAUCUGAGGAAAGCUAAAGAAGAUCUUGCAGCAGAAGGGAUCAGGCUGGCGGCAGAGCGGGCGGCUCUCGACGCCCGGACUCAGUUGAUUCAGGCGCAGUCCUUCCAACUCACGAUGGAUCAAAACGCGGCCAACAAGGUCAUGAGAAGGAGGCAUCAGAAGGCCCAGUCUCGACUCCCGCCGGUUUACGAUCCGCGCAAUCUCUUCAACACGCCGGGGUGCGGGAUCCAGUAACCCACCAGGAGUCAUUGCGCCCGGGUCAGGACCCCUUAUUCAGCCACGAGUGAUGGGGCCUCCCCAGGUGCCCCCUGCCCCGCCUCAAUAUGUGCCAAUACCCCCGGGCCAUUAUAAUAACCCGCUGGAGAACAUGGUCGCCGCGGCGGCACGGCUGGCGGCUCUGCCCGUUGAUGGCGACUCUCCGACGGCUAUUGAGACCCGCCGGGUCAGAGAAAUCCUUCAUACAGCACUGGCGCAACAAGAGGCGUACUCCUACAGCCGGGAUAGGAUCCACUCAACCCCUCGUCCAGGGCAGAGCCCGAGUUACAGCUGGCACAUGGUCUCGGCGACCGGCUCAAGUAAUGUCCAACGCCAUGACCCGCCCCCUGGUCAUGGCCCGGCUCAUAAGGGAGCCUUCUACGUAGCAGACCAAGCACGCUAGGAGGCGGAGCAGGCGCCUCAAUUGACGGCUUACCAGACCCCCCCGGCUUAUCCGGCGACAUCCGUUGAUGCGGGUAUCCCUACCAGAACCGGGGGUGUCCCUUGUUUGGUGCCAGCUAUCCGUAAUGAACGUCUACCCAAGGACUUCAAAGGACCUAGGAAGGUGCCUAACUACACAGCAGACUUACAGCCUGCAGCCUGGAUUGAGAGUUAUGAGAUGGCUAUGGAAUUACUGGAAGUCAGUGAGGCGGCCAUGGCCAAAUAUUUCACCAUGAUGUUAGAUGGAACUGCCCGCACGUGGUUGAAAGGGUUACCGCCGAACUCCAUUGGGGCUUGGGCUGAGCUGAAAGCCCGGUUCAUUCAAAACUUCAAAGAUACCUGCAGGCAAUCUAUGUCAAUCGUAGAUCUGACUAACUGUAAGCAGCAGGAGGGUGAAUCCACGACCCAUUGGGUUCGCCGGGUCAAGGAGAUCAUACAUUCAUCGGAUAAGAUGGAUGCCGGCUCUGCAGUCUUAAUGUUGGAGCAAAACUGUCGCUUUGUGCCCCUAAAGAUGAAACUCGGGCGGCUUAAGCGUGACUGUACUGAUAUGGGUACACUGAUGGCGGCUCUUGUCAAGUACGCCGAUUCUGAUGGUACCAAGGAUCCCCCUUCAGAUGAUGAAAGGACAGGGAAGGGAAAGAAGAACGGCAGUGGCAAGAGUCCUCAGUUUAACCCGGGGAAUCAAGGAGGAGGCAAGCGCAAGGCCGAUGGCAGCCUAGAGUUUGUAGCCAACACCAACUCUCAAGGUAAUAACCAGCGACGCAAGGGGAGGCCCCCUCCCCGAGGCGGCGGGUCAGGACCUUCUCUGGAACAGCUAUUGAAUGAACCUUGUCCGAGACACGAUUCUAGAGAGAAGCCAGCGACUCAUCUGUGGAAGGAUUGUGCUAUCAUGAAGGCCUUUAAAAACUACAAUGGUCCGGGUGGCGGCUCAGGCUCCGGCGGCUUCCAUGGCCCGGGCGAAGGGUCAAAUUCCGGUCCUCAGAACGGUCAAGGGGGCUUUAAUCAACAGUCUGGUCAGGGUCAUCAACAGCAACAGGGGGGCUAUCAGACCAACCCAAAGCAGCUUAGCGGUGGAAAGUAUCACGUGUUCACCACUAGUUUGCAAACGAGACGAGAAGCUUCACAAGAGGGCUGUUAAUGUUGUUGAGCCGGCGGUUCCACGCUACUUACGGUGGUCGGAGCAGCCCAUAGUGUGGAGUAGGGAGGGUCACCCUCCCCGGGUGGAUAACCCGGGCCACCUGGCCUUAGUGGUGGCUCCUCAAGUGGGAGGCUAUAAGUUCACAAAGGUACUCAUGGAUGGAGGCAGCAGAAUCAACAUCCUCUAUUAUGAGACUUUCCGUCGUAUGGGACUAGUUGAUAAGAACCUCAGCCAGUCAAAUACUAUCUUCCAUGGUGUGGUACCCGGUAAAUCGGCUUAUCCAGUCGGCAAGAUCGAACUGGAAGUGGCCUUCGGUGAUGAGAACAACUACAUGGUGGAGAAGUUGACCUUUGAGGUGGUCAAGAUAAGAAGUCCUUACCACGCCAUAUUUGGACGGCCGGCUUACGCCAAGUUCAUGGCACGGCCGUGUUAUGUGUACUUACAACUCAAGAUGCCGGGUCACAACGGGACCAUUACGGUUCACGGCAGCUUUCCGUUACGGUUCUCUUGUGGCCAAGGCUUUCCGUCAUGGUUUUUACUGGCUGACGGCUCACGCUGAUGCAGAGGACUUGGUCAGUAAAUGUGAUGGCUGCCAAAGGUUCUCACGACGGGCUCAUGUGCCGGCUCAGGAGUUGAGGAUGAUUCCAAUCGCCUGGCCCUUUGCAGUCUGGGGGCUUGAUAUGGUUGGGCCUUUUAAACGGUCCAAGGAUAAGAAGACCCACCUCUUGGUGGCAGUGGACAAAUUCACGAAGUGGGUGGAAGCUGAGCCAGUUAGCAAGUGUGAUGCAGCCACGGCGGUUCAAUUUAUGAAAAAGGUGAUCUUCCGCUUCGGCUUUCCGCACAGCAUCAUAACAGACAAUGGCACUAAUCUGUCCAAAGGCGCUAUGGAGGAGUUUUGUCAACGAGAGCAUAUCCGGCUUGAUGUUUCUUCAGUAGCUCAUCCCCAGUCUAAUGGUCAAGCUGAGAGAGCUAACCAGGAGAUUCUGAAGGGCAUCAAACCCCGGCUUUUGGUCCCUUUGCAACGGACGCCGGGUUGUUGGCUGGAGGAAUUGCCCUCCGUCUUAUGGAGCAUCAACACUACUCCUAACAGGUCUACAGGCUUCACGCCUUUCUUCAUGGUUUAUGGAGCAGAAGCGGUUCUCCCCAGUGACAUCCGUCAUGAUUCACCUCGUGUGGCGGCUUAUGUUGAGACGGAUAAUGAACAGGCGCGCCAAGAUGCUACGGACUUGUUGGACGAACAGCGUGAUGUGGCAGCCGCCCGUUCAGCGAUUUACCAACAAGACCUGCGCCGUUAUCAUAGCCGCCGGGUCAAGUCACGGGUCUUUCAGGAAGGCGACCUGGUGCUCCGGCUCAUCCAGGAUCAAACAGAUGCACACAAGUUAUCCCCACCUUGGGAAGGGCCUUUUGUGGUCAGUAAGAACUUGCACAACGGGUCAUAUUACCUCAUUGAUAUCCGGGAGCAUAAAGACUCGCGUAAAUCUGAGGAGGAGACCCGUCGGCCGUGGAACAUAGCUCAGCUUCGGCCUUACUACACUUGAGCUACCGGCUCUUGUGGUGUAUAUAUUUAUCUCAGCCAUGUAUAUAUUAUGAUAAGCAAUAAAGCAGGGCCUCUGUCCUUUUUUCUCCUCCAAAUAUACGUGUCAUACUAAUUUGAAAGGAGGAUCCGGCUUAUGAUCGCAUUCGAAUCUAGCCGUAAGCAGUAAGAUCACGUGGGGGCUUCCUGUUCAAACAUGGGUCGUAUUCGAACCAAAGAGAACAUAGCUGUCGAUACCCAUUUGAUUGGCAAAGUGCCGAGCUCAUUGGGAGGUUGCCUUUGGUCAUAUUUGAAUCAUAGUGUAACCCCUCUGAGAACCGACGUGGAUCGUAUUCGAAUCAGCGUCGUUAAACAAUUUUCAGAAUCACUUGGGGGCUUCCUGUUCAAACAUGGGUCGUAUUCGAACCCAAGAGAACAUAGCUGUCGGUACCCUCUUGAUUGGCAUCGCCACACCCAUUGGGGGCUAUAUGAUCAUAUCCGAAUCUUGGCUUAAACCCCUUUCGGGCCGGGUCUCUGGUCGUAUUCGAACUGGAAGCCCCUAAGUUCCGAUUUAUCGCAAAGUCUACUCUGAUUAUGACAACGUGUGCAUGGCCGGGUUUUCACUUGCCGGCUUAAUUUUGGUUUAUCUUGUUCGUUGAGCAUCAUGGAUGUCAUCAAGACAAGUAAUUCGAGUUAGGAUACCAACCGUGCUACCCGGGUUAUUUAACCCGGAAGUAUGCUUACAGGCUGUUGAGUGUGUUAUCACGACUGUGUUCAGAAUAUAGUUAAGGGCCAGUCUUUUUGGUUUGUAUUCCGGGUUAUCCAUCUCAAACACCUGAUUCUCAGGGCGGUAAGCCGCCUUGCGACUUGUGAUUUGCCUUUCUAUGCAGAUACUUAAAGGUACUUUUUAAGGUUGAGAAGGACAAAGGGAUAAUUACGACCCGGAGGAACACAAAGGAUAAUUUCAAGAGUUUCCAGCAUUCAUUACGUGCACGAUGGCACGGCAGAGAUAAAAUGUUGCACCUAGUCUAUUACAAAAUUCUUCAAGUCUCAAGGUUGGAGCGUUGUUCGGUGAACCGCCAGCCGCUUUACGAUGCCUGCUGGGUUGAAGUCCCCGGCUCGUCUUCUGCUCCGGUUGAUCCCAAGACCUCCAAGGUUGACGACUUCCAGUCGAUGCCGCUGAGAGCUUCGAACUGGGCUUCUUCGUCAAUUAACCCGGCCGGGUCAAUCUCGGGGGCGAAGGUGUGCUGACGAGCCGGAGGAAUCAGACUAAGAGCUUCAUAGCGAGGGGUUGGAAUCCGCUGAUUCUCCGCGUUGUACCCCGGCUGAUACUUGGUUAAGUCGGUGUCGUUCCCGAUGAUGGUGGCCACCGGGCGUACAGCCUUAACACACGCUACGAAGUCCUUCUGGUCGAAGGUGGAGCCGUCUUCCUUCAAGCUCGGGUAACCCAGUGCGAUGUCUGCCGGGUCUAGCUCCGGCAGGAAUGCUUUGGCCCGGCUUAGCGCGGCAAUUGCUCCGGAUCUUGCGGAGGCUCGGCGUAGCUCCUGGAUCCGCUGUGGCAGAACAGCAAGCUGGCGCAGGACUUCGGCCAGAUGGGUUGGCACCUCGUUGGAUAGGGCCACCACAGCUAAAGCGCGCUGUGACCCGGUGUAGAGUUGUUCCACCAGGGUGUACACGGCCUUUAGCUUGGUGACCACGCUCUGGUUCAAGUUGGCGCUUCUGGAACCUGUUUAACAACAUCAGAUGACCCGGUGACAAGGAUGAAUCAGGAGAUGUAAAAAUUCUAACAUAAAUGAAAGCCGGUGAGGCGACUUACCGAAGAUGGCAGCUACCAUUUGGGACACUUGGCGCUUUAGGCUGGAGAAUUCGGCGGUUUUUUCAGAGAGUGCCUUCUCCGCCUGUUCCGCCCGGGUCAUCAGUGCGGCUUUCUCCUCAGCCCAGGCCUUCCGCUCAGCGUCGAAUUCAGUCUUCAAUUUCUCCUGAGCGGCGAUGCUGGAGACAAACUUGGCAUUCGCCUUCCGGGUCUCCAUCUCUUGAGUCUUUAACCGGCUCUUGAGAUCCGCCAGGUCCGACUCUAAUUUCUUGCUAGCAGCCUGCAUAUAUUUCCGGGUUAUUGACAGUCAUUCUAUAAAGUCCCAAGCGCUUUCCAAGCAAAGACACUUGGCACUUGGGGGCUAAUGCAUAUUGAACGUAUCUAUCUAUGUACGGCCGGCUCAGUUCAGUAAGCCGGAAUCUAAGUCUACAACAUAUUCAAGUAUAAGUGCUAGACUUGGGGGCUAGGAUGACAAGGAUCACUAUGCAGAAAUAAGAAAACAGCAGAAGGUUACCUCAGAUUUCUGUUGGAUCUGGUUGACCAUGGCGAUCUCGGCGUCUCGGCUCUUGUGAACUUGGCUGAUGUAGCCUGACACAAGCUCUCCAAUGCUUAAAUCGGUGUAGCUGGAGAGAUCCAGAUUCACCCGAUGGGGUUGCAGCAACUCCCCCUUCGCGGAGCAUUUGGCCAGUGCGGUCGGCCUCCCCGGCUCAACAUACUCCGUCCGGGUAAUUACCACGUCCGGGUCGUUAGCUGGUGGGGCUGAGCCGGACGCCUCCGGAUUAGCUGACGCUUCGGUCGUUGUCUUGGUGGUCAGGGCAGGGGCUUCAGGCGCCGUAUCCAUGGGAAUGGUGGCCUCGGAGGCAGCUGGCGGAUCUUGAGCCGUCGUUUCCGGCUCAGGCAAGUCCGGCACUCCGGCUGACCUGGUCUUCUUUGUUCUUUUGGUGAGCUUUGCCUGGGCACUGAAAAGACAGAAGUGUUAGGCAUACAAAGAGUAAAUACAGACAGAUAAUGUAAGGUGAUUGUUAUUACUCGGGUGCAGUCUUGAAGGCCGGCAGACUUGAUUGCAGGGAGUCACCCGAAGAGGGGGAGGUCUCCUGGUAAUUGGAGUCAGAAGAAUUAAGUGGUUGACGGAUAACACCCGCCAACGGAUGAAAAGGGUACAAGUGAGAAAAGACCUCGGUGCGACGUUUCUUUGUCGCGUCGGGUAACCCGGCGGAGAGGUCGGUGUCCUUGCGGGCCCGGGUGAGACGCCGGCUUUCGUGAACCUGCUGCUUCAAAACAAAUUGAGGGUCUUGAUGAGCUAAUGGAUGAGAAAAGCUUACUUUCCAGGUUACCCUUCGGACUUUCAGCUGUGGCAAAGGCUCCGAGUCGGAGGGGAGUAAUGUUACCUCUUCAAUCACCGGGUUACUGGCGCCGGUGUCAUCCUGUCAAUAAGCAAAAUGAUGGUAAAGUGGACAGCAGCAACCAGUAAAUACGGCAAGAGUUUAAAGGUUUAAGGGUUACCUCUGACUCGGAGCUAUCGCUUAAUUGCAGCAGCUCCGAAGCAGUGGGUCUGUUUCCCUUUUUGCGAGGGGCGGCUCUCUUGGCGGCUUUCUUCGCCUUCCUGGCCUUCUUGGCCGCCUCAUGGUCAUACUUGACCCGCCAGAAUUUAUCAUCAGCUUGAAAAAUACAGUAAUGAGUUCUUAGUAAGAUGACAGGUAAAAAAUGGAAAGGUUAAAGUCAGCGGCUUACCGCUGGGGCUGGAUUGGUCUUGCAGAACAAGGCUAGCCCGGUUCUUCCACAGUCUGCCAGGCUCUCGUUUAACAAAGCCUUGGUCUCUUCUUCCGCAACGUCUUCUGGAAGAUCAUUGCGACUGUGCCUCUGCGGGUCAUCCUUUCGCCCGGUGUACUCACACAUUAAGCCGGGGCGGCGGCUCAAUGGGAUCACCCGCCAUGAGAUCCAGACCCGGACCAGAUCAAUUCCGUUCAGACCAUUGCCUAGCAGGGCCUUGAUCUUGUUGAUCGUUGGAAGCAAAGGCUGGCGUUCCGCGGCAGUAAGUUUGUCGGAUAACGGGUGAGUCGGCUCCAGGCGUGUUGGGCGAAAGCCGGGUAGUGGAUUCUCGUCAGCCGGGGAUGUAUCUUGGCAGUAGAACCAAGUCAUAUUCCAGUCCUUAGGGUGGCUCGGCGGCUCUGCGUAAGGGAACAGACAGUCCCUACGUCGCUGGAUGGAGAUGCUGCCUAACUCUAGACUUGGCCCGUUGGCACACUCAUUUUGGCGGUUCAAAUAAAACAGCUCUCUGAAGAGCAGUAGACUCGGCUCUUCUCCAAGAUAUACUUCACAAAAGAUUUGGAAGUUGCAGAUGUUGGAUAUGGAAUUGGGUCCUAUAUCCUGAGGUCGAAGGUCAAAGAAGUUGAGCACAUCCCGGAAGAAUUUUGAGCCGGGCGGUGCAAAGCCCCGGCUCAUAUGGUCCGCAAAGAUCACUACCUCCCCCUCCGUCGGCUGUGGUCUUUCUUCGGACGGAUCAGGGGCACGGUAGGACAUCACUUCCUUCCUGGGCAGAUAUCCGGACUUAACGAAGUUGGCCAGGGUCUCAUCAGUGACGUUGGAUCUCAUCCAGUUGCAAGUGAUGGGAGCUUUGGGAGGCAUGGUGACGGUUGGUGAUCUAUGAUAAAGAAGAAGGUGUCCGGGUUAAUUAUAAGCCGGAGUUUAUCAUUCAAACUACAAUGACGGCUUAUGAAGGGGACUAAUGGUAUGUAUUGACACGGUGGGUUAUCUAAGCCGUCAGGGCAUUCAGGAUGAGUUGGUACUGCGGUUAAGUCGGGAGAUACUACAGAGCAUGGUUCUCUUUAAACCGGAAAGUUCUACGGCGCGUGUUUUCUUUAAGUCGGAAGCAUAAGCCGCCAAGAUUCAAGGGCUGCAGUUUUUACUAAGUGUGGUAAAACAGAUUUCAUAUAUUACAGUAACUUUUUCGGAUCAAAAUGGUCGGGCAAGAUGAAAAUUUUCUAGACCUAACGAAACAGAAACAGGAGAAGUUCUUAAGGUGGAACAUGGUCUUUAAGCAGUAAAAAGAGGAUUUUUUGCAGAUGGAAUGGAUCUCGAACAUUUACCGCAAAGGUUCUACGAAGAGUUAAGAUCAACGGGGGCAGUGACUACAGGGGUUACUGAAACUUGCGGCAAUGGUGAAGAACGCGAAGAACACAAGAUGAACCCUACCACAGAUUGGUUCUAGCAAGGCAGGGAAGACUCACCGGAGUUGAGGAAGAGCGAAGGUCGCCGCCGUUAUCUGGUCCGGGUCAGGGUGAUGCAGCGGUCGGGUCGAUGAAGAUCAGGGGCGCGACGGCGGCGGCGGCGGCAGAAGCUCGGGCAGAGGAACGACAGCGCGAGGAAGAAGAAGGAGAGUGUGAGAAGAGAGUGCAGGGCCGGCCUAUUUAUAAGGCAAGUCAUAAGUGGGCGCGAUAUUCAAGGAGACCGCGGCGUGGUUAUCUCCCCCUCGCGGCGCCUCGAUUUUCGGAAAGACAGUAACAGCAGAGAUCCGUUGCGGAUCUGGCGGAGUAAAAAACGGACUUAAUGGAGGAUGACGUCACGGCGGAUUAUCCGGAGUCCGGAGAAUGACGUCACACCGGGUUAUGGCCUUCACACGAACGGUAAGCCGGAGAUUUUUUCUGUCGGCAGAGUUGAAGAUUGACACGAGCCGGCUCAAGUCAAUCUGGGGCCUAAUGUUGAGGAUAUAGACCUGGGAGUCACCCGCCAGGAGGGCCGGGUUACACUAAGGGUCAUUGCCAGAAGCCCGGAGCUAAGUUUCAAGAUAAAUGGGCCAGAGAUGGGCCGAGACCCGGCGUGGCUUAAAGCCCGUAGUACAAUCUUUAUUGUUAUAGUAGACUUGUAGUGUAAGGCAAGUAUGGUUUAGAGUCCGAGCCGGACACUCUUAUGAGCCGGCCGGGACUCUAAGGGCCGCUGGGCGUCAGCCUCCCUAUAUAAAGGGACGACCCGGCAGCGGUUUAGGGGCGACAACAAUCUCAUCGAGAGCCGGGCAUAGUUGUUUAGCUCCCUGGCAAUCGUAACCCUAAUCAAUAACACCUCGAACUGGACGUAGGCUUUACCUUCACCGUAAGGGGCCGAACCAGUAUAAACCCUCGUGUUUCUUGUCCCGCAUAACCCCUUCAAGCUUCCUAGUUGCGAUGGCUCCACGACUAAGUCCUAGCUCAAGGACAUCUGCCGUGACAAUUCCACGACACCAUGCAUAUGUAGUGUAGCUCCUUGCUUGCGAGUACUUUGGAUGAGUACUCACGGUUGCUUUUCUCCCUCUUUUCCCCUUUCUAUACCUGGUUGUCUCAACCAGAUGCUGGAGUCCAGGAGCUAGAGAUCCCGAGGAUGAUUCUACAUGGAGUUCGGCUUCGAGGAGUAGUUAGGAGGUCCCAGGCAGGAGGCCUAGCCUCUUCGAUCGUUGCUACUUUUGUGCUAGCCUUCUUAAGGCAAACUUGUUUAACUUAUGUCUGUACUCAGAUAUUGUUGCUUCCGCUGACUCGUCUAUGACCGAGCACUUGUAUUCGAGCCCUCGAGGCCCCUGGCUUGUAUUAUGAUGCUUGUAUGACUUAUAUAUGUUUUAGAGUUGUGUUGUGAUAUCUUCCCGUGAGUCCCUGAUCUUGAUCGUACACAUUUGCGUGCAUGAUUAGUGUACGGUCAAAUCGGGGGCGUCACACUAGAAUUGUAUUAACCGAAAACUUAGUACCUGUGUGAGUACAUAGACAAAUAGAGUGUCACUAGUAUGCCUCUACUUGACUAGCUCGUUGACCAAAGAUGGUUAAGUUUCGUAGCCAUUGACAUGAGUUGUCAUUUGAUUAACGGGAUCACAUCAUUAGACAAUGAUGUGAUUGCCUUGACCCAUCUGUUAGCAUAGCACUAUGAUCGUUUAGUUUAUUGCUAUUGCUUUCUUCAUGACUUAUACAUGUUCCUAUGACUAUGAGAUUAUGCAACUCCCGAAUACUAGAGGAACACUUAGUGUGCUAUCAAACGUCACAACGUAACUGGGUGAUUAUAAAGAUGCUCUACAGGUGUCUCCGAUGGUGUUUGUUGGGUUGGCAUAUAUCGAGAUUAGGAUUUGUCACUCCGUGUUUCGGAGAGGUAUCUCUGGGCCCUCUCGGUAAUGCACAUCACUAUAAGCCUUGCAAGCAAUGUGACUAAUGAGUUAGUUGCGGGAUGAUGCAUUACGGAAUGAGUAAAGAGACUUUCCGGUAACGAGAUUGAAGUAGGUAUUGAGAUACCGACGAUCGAAUCUCGGGCAAGUAACAUACAGAUGAUAAAGGGAACAACGUAUGUUGUUAUGCGGUUUAACCGAUAAAGAUCUUCGUAGAAUAUGUCGGAACCAAUAUGAGCAUCUAGGUUCCGCUAUUGGUUAUUGACCGGAAGUGAGGCUCGGUCAUGUCUACAUAGUUCUCGAACCCGUAGGGUCCGCACGCUUAACGUUCGCUGACGAUCGGUAUUAUGAGUUUAUGUGUUUUGAUGUACCGAAGGUUGUUCGGAGUCCCGGAUGUGAUCACGGACAUGACGAGGAGUCUCGAAAUGGUCGAGACAUAAAGAUUGAUAUAUUGGACGAUGUUAUUCGGACACCGGAUGAGUUCCGGGGGUCACCGGAUAAAUAUCGGAGUGCCGGGGGGUUAUCGGAACCCCCGGGGGAACUAAUGGGCCUCUAUGGGCCUUAGUGGGAAGAGAGGAAAGGCUAGGAGGGGCUGGCCGCCCCCCCUUAGGUCCGAAUUGGACUAGGGGAAAGCGGCGGCGCCCCCCUUUCCUUCCCUUCCCCCUCUUCCUUCCUCCUACUAGGACUUGGUGUCCUAGUAGGAUUCCCCUCUUUGGAGCGCCCCCUAGGGGCCGGCCGGCCUCCCCCUUGCUCCUUUAUAUACGGGGGGUAGGGGGCACCCUAGAACACACAAGUUGACAGUUGUCUUAGCCGUGUGCGGUGCCCCCUCCACAGAUUUCCACCUCGGUCAUAUCGUUGUAGUGCUUAGGCGAAGCCCUGCGUCGGUAACUUCAUCAACACCAUCAUCACGCCGUCGUGCUGACGAAACUCUCCCUUGACCUCAGCUGGAUCUAGAGUUCGUGGGACGUCCUCGAGCUGAACGUGUGCAGAUCACGGAGGUGUCGUACCUUCGGUGCUAGGAUCGGUCGGAUUGUGAAGACGUACUACUACAUCAACCGCAUUGUCAUAACGCUUGCACUUUCGGUCUACGAGGGUACGUAGACAACACUCUGCCCUCUCGUUGCUAUGCAUCACCUAGAUAGAUCUUGCGUGAUCGUAGGAAUUUUUUUGAAAUUAGUGCGUUUCCCAAUAGUGGCAUCCGAGCCAGGUUUAUGCGUAGAUGUUAUAUGCACGAGUAGAACACAAAGAGUUGUGGGCGAUAAUAGUCAUACUGCUUACCAGCAUGUGAUACUUUGGUUCAGCGGUAUUGUUGGAUGAAUCGGCCCGGACCGACAUUACGCGUACGCUUACGCGAGACUGGUUCUACUGACGUGCUUUGCACAUAGGUGGCUGGCGGGUGUCAGUUUCUCCAACUUAAGUUGAACCAAGUGUGACUACGCCCGGUCCUUGAGAAGGUUAAAACAACACUAAGUUCACGAAGUAUCAUUGUGGUUUUGAUGCGUAGGUAAGAACGGUUCUUGCUCAGCCCGUAGCAGCCACGUAAAACUUGCAACAACAAAGUAGAGGAUGUCUAACUUGUUUUUGCAGGGCAUGUUAUGAUGUGAUAUGGUCAAGACGUGAUGAUAUAUAAAUUGUUGUAUGAGAUGAUCAUGUUUUGUAACAGUUAUCGGCAACUGGCAGGAGCCUUAUGGUUGUCGCUUUAUUGUAUGCAAUGCAAUCGCCAUGUAAUUGCUUUACUUUAUCACGAAGCGGUAGCGAUAGUCGUGAUAGCAAUAGUUGGCGAGACGACAAUGAUGCUUCGAUGGAGAUCAAGGUGUCAAGCCGGUGACGAUGGUGAUCAUGACGGUGCUUGGAGAUGGAGAUCAAAGGCACAAGAUGAUGAUGGCCAUAUCAUAUCACUUAUAUUGAUUGCAUGUGAUGUAUAUCCUUUAUGCAUCUUAUUUUGCUUAGUUCGGCGGUAGCAUUAUAAGAUGAUCUCUCACUAAAUUUCAAGGUACAAGUGUUCUCCCUGAGUAUGCACCGUUGCGAAAGUUUGUCGUGCCGAGACACCACGUGAUGAUCGGGUGUGAUAAGCUCCAUGUUCACAUACAACAGGUGCAAGCCAGUUUUGCACAUGCAGAAUACUCGGGUUAAACUUGACGAGCCUAGCAUAUGCAGAUAUGGCCUCGGAACACUGAGACCGAAAGGUCGAGCAUGAAUCAUAUAGUAGAUAUGAUCAGCAGAGUGAUGUUCACCAUUGAAAACUACUCCAUCUCACGUGAUGAUCGGACAUGGUUUAGUUGAUAUGGAUCACGUGAUCACUUAGAUGAUUAGAGGGAUGUCUAUCUAAGUGGGAGUUCUUAAGUAAUAUGAUUAAUUGAACUUUAAUUUAUCAUGAACUUAGUCCUAAUAAUAUUUGCAUAACUAUGUUGUAGAUCAAUAGCUCACGAUGUAGCUCCCCGUUUAUGUUUGAUAUGUUCCUAGAGAAAAACUAUGUUGAAAGAUGAUAGUAGCAAUGAUGCGGACUAGGUCCGUGAUCUGAGGAAUAUCCUCAUUGCUGCAUAGAAGAAUUGUGUCCUUGAUGCACCGCUAGGUGACGGACCUAUUGCAGGAGCAGAUGCAGACGUUAUGAACGUUUGGCAAGCACGGUAUGAUAACUACUUGAUAGUUUAGUGCGCCAUGCUUUACGCAUAGAACUGGGACUUCAAAAACGUUUUGAACGCCAUGGAGCAUAUAAGAUGUUCCAAGGACUGAAAUUGGUAUUUCAGACUCAUGCCCGACUCAAGAGGUAUGAGACCUCUGACAAGUACUUUGCCUACACGAUGGACGAGAAUAGCUCAACCAGUGAGCAUGUGCUUAGAUUGUCUGAGUACUACAAUCGCUUCAAUCAAGUGGGAGUUAAUCUUCCAGAUAAAAUAGUGAUUGACAGAGUUCACUAGUCACUAUCACCAAGUUACUGGAAUUUCGUGAUGAACUAUAAUAUGCAAAGGAUGACGAAAACGAUUGCCGAGCUCUUCGUGAUGCUGAAAUCGACAAAGGUAGAAAUCAAGAAAAGCAUAAAAUGUUGAUGGUUGACAAGACCACUUGUUUCAAGUAAAAGGGCAAGGGAAAUAAAGGGAACUUCAAGAAGAAUGGCAAGCAAGUUGCCACUCCCAUGAACAAGCCCAAAGCUAGACCCAAGCCUGAAACUGAGUGCUUCUACUGCGAAGGAAAUGGUCACUGGAAGCGGAACUGCCCCAAAUACUUGGCGGAUAAGAAGGAUGGUAAAGUGAACAAAAGUAUAUAUGAUAUACAUGUUAUUGAUGUGUAUUUUACUAGUGUGCAUAGUAGCCCCUGGGUAUUUGAUACUGGUUCAGUUGCUAUGAUUAGUAAUUCGAAACAGGAGUUACAAAAUGAACAAAGACUAGUUGAGGGCAAGGUGAUGAUGUGUGUUGGAAGUGAUUCCAAGGUUGAUAAGAUCACCAUCGCACAUUCCUUUUACCUUCGGGAUUAGUGUUGAACCUAAAAUAAAUGUUAUUUGGUGUUUGCGUUGAGCAUAAUAUGAUUGGACCAUGGUUAUUGCAAUAUGGUUAUUCAUUUAAGUCAAAGAAUAAUUGUUAUUUUGUUUACAUGAAUAAAACCUUAUGUGGUCAUACACCUAAGGUGAAUGGUUUAUUGAAUUGUAAGUGCAUCUAGUGCCCCUUAGUGAUUUUGGUGUAUUGAAGACUUAUAGGUUAAGGGACUAAUGUGUUUAUGAGUGUACAUAGGUCUAUAAGUCUAUGAGGAGUUUGAUAUUUACAGAGAAAGUCGACCCCUAAAAAAGAAUAUCUUCGACUGAAGAUUUUGGAUUUCUGAAGACUUUCUGAAGACUUUUGAAAGUGAAGAAAUUGGUGUGACGUUGAAGACUUGGCAUUCAUUCGAGGAACAUGAAGCGUGAAGACUUUUGUUUUCGUAGUUUCAUUUUUCUCUUUCUUGAUUCAUAGGAAACACCGUACUGUUAAAGGGGGUCGAGGAAAUACUAAGGAAAAAUUUCCAUGUGAUGCUCAACUCAAAAUCCUACACCUACCAAUCCCUUCGAGUGAAGCCAUUGGAAAUCUCAUACAGCUCAAUCAAUUUCUUCAGUCACAGAGAUGAAGUUCUUCUGGUCUCUGAGGAAUUUGUUCUGACUGAGGAGUUAGGAAUUCGCCAGUGUGGAUUGCCUACACAGUGAGGAACAUGAUAGCCCUGAGGAAUUUGAUAGUCAAAUUUCCGACCGUUGUUGUGCUACGCGCCAGCUAUCCCAAAAUAUCUACCCACCUAACGGUCAUAUCAUUGAAGGGCAUUUAUGUCUUAUCAUGUCGGGCUGCUCCCAAGGCUAUAAAUAGCCGCCCCCUACAACCACUAGCUGGUUGGCUGCUCUGAGAGAAAUUGACACUUGUCAUUUGAGAGCAUCCCAUCCUCCGAGGACUUUGAGCGAAAAUCAUGGAGUGAGGAAAACCCAAACCCACACACCUACAAUCCCAAAGUGAUUGAGCAUCACUGAAGAGGUUGAUCCUGCGUGGAUCCGACGCUUGUUACCUUUGAAGACUGUGCUUCUUCCAGACGGUUAGGCGUCAUGGUCUAGAGCAUCCAAUAGGAAUUGUGGAUCGCCGAGUGACCGAGUCUGUGAAGGUUUGGAAGUCACCUGAAGACUUACCACGAGUGAUUAGGCGAGGUCUGUGUGACCUUAGCUCACGGAGAAUAGGUGAGGACUUUGUGUCCGGGACUGUGUGUCAUCAGGUUUAAAUACCUAGCCGCUCCAACCAGACGUACAACUGAGACAGCAGUUGGAACUGGUCUACCAAAUCAUUGUCUUCACCAAGCUUACUGGUUCUAUUUCCUCAACUCUUUCAUUUCCUCAUAACUGUGUUGUGCACUUCUUCGUAUCUGUGUUUGAAGACUUUGACUGAAGACUUUCUCAAUUUCCUCAGUUCAAUUUCUUCAGUCUGUUUGUCUUCAUCCUCUGUUAUCGUAUGUUUACGCUUUCUGUACUAUGUGCUUGUCUUCAUUUCAUCAUGAUGACCAUGCUUGCGCUCUGUUAUGUUUAUUUUGAGUACUUAUUCCACUGCAAGUAGUUCUUCACUAAGGAAUUUCCUCACCCGCAAAUUCCUCAGUGAAGAAUUCAAAAAAUUGCCUAUUCACCCCCCUCUAGUCGAUAUAACGCACUUUCAAUUGGUAUCAGAGCAAGGUACUCCCUUGUUCUGUGUGAUUUUGGUUUAACCGCCUGGAGUUUUAGUUAUGUCGACCGCAGGUAUGAUCAAGGUCUCUGUCGGUGUCAAAACCGGCGGAUCUCGGGUAGGGGGUCCCGAACUGUGCGUCUAAGGCGGAUGGUAACAGGAGGCGGGGGACAUGAUGUUUACCCAGGUUCGGGCCCUCUCGAUGGACGUAAUACCCUACUUCCUUCUUGAUUGAUCUUGAUGAUAUGAGUAUUACAAGAGUUGAUCUACCACGAGAUCGUAGAGGCUAAACCCUAGAAGCUAGCCUAUGAUUAUGAUUGUUCUUGUCCUAUGGACUAAACCCUCCGGUUUGUAUAGACACCGGAGGGGGCUAGGGUUACACAGAGUCGGUUACAAAGAAGGAGAUCUACAUAUCUGAAUUGCCAAGCUUGCCUUCCAUGCAAAGGAGAGUCCCGUCCGAACACGGUACGAAGUCUUCAAUCUUGUAUCUCCAUAGUCCAACAGUCCGGCCAAAGUAUAUAGUUCGGCUGUCCGAGGACCCCCUAAUCCAGGACCCCCUCAGUAGCCCCUGAACCAGGCUUCAAUGACGAUGAGUCCGGCGCGCAGAUUGUCUUCGGCAUUGUAAGGCAGGUUCUUCUCCAAAUCCUGAGUACCUUGAUGCGCCCCUGACCCUCGUGGGCCACCCGUAAGGCGGUUGAUGCUCUACUUUGGCCGCAAGAAAGCUAAUUUUUGGUAAAAAAAUCACGGCGAAGGUUUCAGUCCGAUCGGAGUUACGGAUCUCCAUAUAUAUACGAAACGGUGAAAGGGCAGCAAAGGAGAACGCAGAAACAGAGAGAGACAGAGAGACAGAUCCAAUCUCGGAGGGGCUCUCGACCCUCCCACGCCAUGGAGACCAUGGACCAGAGGGGAAACCCUUCUCCCAUCUAGGGAGAAGGUCAAGGAAGAAGAAGGAGGGGGCUCUCUCCCCCUCGCUUCCGGUGGUGCCGGAGCGCUGCCGGGGGCCAUCAUCAUCACCGCGAUCUAGACCAACCGCUCCGCCAUCUUCACCAACAUCUCCAUCACCUUCCCCCCUCUAUCUAUAGUGGUCCACUCUCCCGCAACCCGCUAUACCCUCUACUUGAACAUGGGGCUUUAUGCUUCAUAUUAUUAUCCAAUGAUGUGUUGCCAUCCUAUGAUGUCUGAGUAGAUUUUCGUUGUCCUAUCGGUGGUUGAUGAAUUGUUAUGAUUGAUUUAAUUUGCUUGUGGUUAUGUUGCUGUCCUUUGGUGCCCAUCAUAUGACCGCGCGUGUGGAUCACACCAUACGGUUAGUUGUAUGUUGAUAGGACUAUGUAUUGGAGGGCAAGGGUGACAGAAGCUUCAGCCUAGCAUAGAAAUUGAUGCAUACGGCACUGAAGGGGACCAAUAAAUCUUAAUGCUAUGGUUGGGUUUUAGCUUAAUGAACGUUAGUAGUUGCGGAUGCUUGCUAAUAGUUCCAAUCAUAAGUGCAUAGAAUUCCAAGUAAGGGAUGACAUGCUAGCAGUGGCCUCUCCCACAUAAAACUUGCCAUCGGUCUAGUAAAGUAGUCAAUUGCUUAGGGACAAUUUCGCAACUCCUACCACCACUUUUCAACACUCGCUCUAUUUACUUUAUUGUGUCCUUAUCUAAACAGCCCCUAGUUUUUUUACGUGCUCUUUAUCUUCUUGCAAACCUAUCCAACAACACCUACAAAGUUCUUCUAGUUUCAUACUUGUUCUAGGUAAAGCGAACAUUAAGUGUGCGUAGAGUUGUAUCGGUGGUCGAUAGAACUUGAGGGAAUAUUUGUUUUACCUUUAGCUCCUCGUUGGGUUCGACACUCUUACUUAUCGAAAGAGGCUACAAUUGAUCCCCUAUACUUGUAGGUUAUCAAGACCUUUUUCUGGCGCCGUUGCCGGGGAGCAAUAGCGUGGGGUGAAUAUUCUCGUGUGUGCUUGUUUGCUUUAUUACUAAGUAAUUUUUAUUUGCUGUUCUUAGUUGUUCUCUAUCUUUAGUAAUGGAUAUGGAACACGAAAUACCAAAAAAUUUAGGUGUACUUGCUACUCAUGGAGAUGAGGAACCUCCUAAAACCCUCGAUGCUCGUUAUGUGACAGAUAUUAUGUACUACUUUGAUAAUCCAGAGAAAACCCCAUUCAAUUUGGUAAUGGGAGUAACGUUGGAUCAACGUGAAUACUUUAGGGAUUAUCGCUUGACUCAAAAAGGGAAACUAUUAUGGGAUCAAAUUUAUAUGUUGAAGUGGUAUGCUCGACAAGUAUGCUUGAGAUAUGAUUAUACCUGUUGCUCUAGGAUGAAGGCUCCACACCUUCCCUUUUCAUACAAAUUUAAUGAUAAUGAAACCUUAGCUUCUUAUGCUAAUGGUAUAUAUGAUUACUAUGAUGUGAAACAAAUAGAAGAAUUUGUUGGUUUUAAGGGUGCUUAUGAAAUUGAAUCUUUGUUUGAAAAGUAUGAAGCUUUUGAUGAUGAUGUUUAUAGGCCUGAAAUUUUUUCUAUAUUGAAAUAUUGCUAUGAUAAUUAUGAAUAUAAUUCCUAUAUUGAUGCGCUUAUUGAGAAAGUCUCCUCUGUCCAAGAAGAGACUAAUAUUUUGUAGGAGUCUAUGGAAGAAGAAAUUGAUGAAACUGUUUGCUCAUUGGAUGAAAAAGAUGAGGAGGAGAGCGAAGAACAAAAGGAGGAAGAGCGGAUUAGCUACCCGUGCCCACCUUCUAAUGAGAGUAACUCUUCAACUCAUACAUUGUUUAAUUCCCCUUCGUGCUUACCGAAGGAUGAUUGCUAUGAUCCCGUUGAUUCUCUUGAAAUAUCCCUUUUUGAUUAUGCUUGUUAUGCUUGUGGCCAAGAUGCCAAUAUGAAUUAUGCUUAUGGAGAUGAACUUGCUAUAGUUCCUUAUGUUAAACAUGAAAUUGUUGCUAUUGCACCCACACAUGAUAGUCCUAUUAUCUUUUUGAAUUCUCCUGACUACACUAUAUCGGAGAAGUUUGCCCUUAUUAAGGAUUAUAUUGAUGGGUUGCCUUAUACCGUUGCACAUGAUGAUUUUGAUGAAUAUAAUAUGCAUGUGCUUGCUGCUCCUACUUGCAAUUAUUAUGAGAGAGGAACUAUAUCUCCACCUCUCUAUGUUUCCAACACGAUAAAAUUGCAAGAAACUGUUUAUACUAUGCAUUGGCCUUUACUAUGUGUGCAUGAAUUGUUCUUUUAUGACAUGCCGAUGCAUAGGAAGAGAGUUAGACUUCGCCAUUGCUUGAUAUAUGUUGCUUUGUGCUCACUACUAAAUGCCAAAUCGUUGCUAAUUAAAAUUGGCUUUGAUAUACCUUCGGAUCCGGGUGGAUUCACUACUUGAGCACUAUACGCCUAGCUUAAUGGCUUUAAAGAAAGCGCUGCCAGGGAGACAACCCGGAAGUUUUAGAGAGUCAUUUAUUUCUGUUGUGUGCUUUUAUAAAUUUUAAAAAUAAAAAUAAUGUGCCAAGAUUACGAUGCUUGUUGGUUUGUGCGGUGCAGGACAGAAACUUUGGCUGUAGUGCGAUAUUUUUCAUGUUUUACUGGAACGUCAAACGGUUCUGAAACUUUUUGCACUAUCUUUAUAUACAAAUUGUUUAUUUUUCCUAAUUUUGGCAGAAUUUUUCAAGUAUCAUAAGUAUGGUGAAUGUUCAGAUUAUUACAGACUGUUCUGUUUUAAACAGAUUCUGUUUUUGAUGCAUAGUUUGCUUGUUUCGAUGAAACUAUCGAUUUAUAUCAGUGGAUUAAGCCAUGAAAAAGUUAUAUUACAGUAGACACAAUGCAAAAACAAAAUAUGAAUUGGUUUGCAACAGCACUUAGAGUAGUGAUUUGCUUUAUUAUACUAACGGAUCUUACCGAGUUUUCUGUUGAAGUUUUCUAUGGAUGAAGUGUUCGAUGAUUGAGAAGGUCUCGGUGUGAGAAGAAGGAAGAGAGGCAAGAGCUCAAGCUUGGGGAUGCCCGAGGCACCCCAAGUAAAUAUUCAAGGAGACUCAAGCGUCUAAGCUUGGGGAUGCCCCAGAAGGCAUCCCCUCUUUCUUCAACAAGUAUCGGUAUGUUUUCGGAUUCGUUUCGUUCAUGUGAUAUGUGUAAAUCUUGGAGCGUCUUUUGCAUUUAGUUUUCAUUUUUCUUUUAUGCACCAUGCUGGUAUGAGAUAUUCCUUGGUUGAUUUAUAGAAUGCUCUUUGCACUUCACUUAUACCUUUUGAGUAUGGCUUUAUAGAAUGCUUCAUGUGCUUCACUUAUAUCAUAUGAAGUUUGGAUUGCCUGUUUCUCUUCACUUAGACAACUGCCAUUUGUAGAAUGCUCUUUUUCUUCACUUAUAUUUGUUAGAGCGUGGGCAUAUCUUUUGUAGAAAGAAUUAAACUCUCUUGCUCACUUAUAUCUAUUUAGAGAGAUGACAUGAACUGGUCAUUCACAUGGUUAGUCAUAAAAUCCUACAUAAAACUUGUAGAUCACUGAAUAUGAUGUGUUUGAUUCCUUGCAAUGGUUUUGCGAUAUAAAGGUGGUGAAAUUAGAGUCAUGCUAGUUGAGUAAUUGUGAAAUUGAGAAAUAGUUGUGUUGAGGUUUGCAAGUCCCGUAGCAUGCACGUAUGGUGAACCGUUAUGUAACGAAGUCGGAGCAUGAGGUGUUCUUUCAUUGCUUUCCUUAUGAGUGGCGGUCGGGGACGAGCGAUGGUCUUUUCCUAACAAUCUAUCCCCCUAGGGGCAUGUGUAGUAGUACUUUCCUUCGAGGGCUAAUAAACUUUUGCAUUAAGUAUAUGAGUUCUUUAUGACUAAUGUGAGUCCAUGGAUUAUACGCACUCUCACCCUUCCAUCAUUGCUAGCCUCUUCGGUACCGUGCAUUGCCCUUUCUCACCUCGAGAGUUGGUGCAAACUUCGCUGGUGCAUCCAAACCCCGUGAUACAAUACGCUCUAUCACACAUAAACCUCCUUAUAUCUUCCUCAAAACAGCCACCAUACCUACCUAUCAUGGCAUUUCCAUAGCCAUUCCGAGAUAUAUUGCCAUGCAACUUCCAUCAUCAUCAUAUACAUGACUUGAGCAUUUAUUGUCAUAUUGCUUUGCAUGAUCCUAAGAUAGCUAGCAUGAUGUUUUCAUGUCUUGUCCAUUUUUUGAUGUCAUUGCUACGCUAGAUCAUUGCACAUCCCGGUACACCGCCGGAGGCAUUCAUAUAGAGUCAUAUCUUUGUCUAGUAUCGAGUUGUAAUAUCGAGUUGUAAGUAAAUAAAGUGUGAUGAUCAUCAUUAUUAGAGCAUUGCCCCAUCAAAAAAGAGAGAGAGAAAGAGGCCAAAGAAGCCUAAAUAAAAAAGGGGUCCAAAGAAGACCGCAAAAGAAAAAAAAAA